AUACAACAAUGUAUAUAUAUAAUGUUAACUAGUAAAAUUACCCACGCAUUGCGGUGAGCUAAUACUAUAAAAGACAGAAAAUUAAUAAAGAAAAAAAUUUGAAAAUUUUUUUGACUUGUCAUGAGAUAUCAAUAAAUACAAAUAAUAUAAGAAAAAAGAGUAUUUUUUUUAUAUAAAAUUGAUUUGUUUAAAUGACAAUAGAUUAUAUGAAUACAUUAAUUAAAAAAUGGGCAGAUAGAAGGACAAAGCAUCAGAUAGAGAUGGAAGACGGAAAAGCACGAAGCAUCAGGAGUGGGAAAGAGGGAGAAGGCAAGAUUGAAGUAGGAACUGUCAUGUGGCAAAUUCUAUAGAAAAUAAUGUAUAGGUAGGUAGGUAUAGAUUUAGUGUCAGAUUUGAGAAGUGAUACAUUUUAAACCAAAUAAAUUAGAGCAAUACUUCAAUACACCAUAUGUAUUAAAAUCAAACUCUUAAUUAGUAAAGGGUAUAAUUGUAUUUUAUAUAAAGUAACCUAUUGAACAGGUUACCGAUUUGAAUUAAUUAAUAUGAUAAUAUUGAAAAACAAUUAGUAGUAUACGUACAGUACCAAAUUUGUUAACAUCCUAUAAUAUUAAGUAUCUUAUUUAGUUUUGUUACUUACCAAAUUAGAUAAUACCCAAUUUGUUAUCCAACUCAAAAAAAUAUUGAAUUUAAAUUUAAGCUUUGAAGUUGGUAUUGUAAUGUAAAAUUUUAAUUUCAAAAUUAUAUUAAACUUUUAAAUUUUGAAUCUACAUUGCAUUUUUAAUCUAAAAGCCAAAUUUUAAUUUUUAAUUUAAAUUAAAAUUUUGAAUUUGAACUGAAAGUUUUAUUUUAAAUUUGUGUUUUAUAUUUAAAAGUUGAAUUUGAUUUAUAAUUAAGUUUUUUAUGUUGCCUUGUAUUUAAAUUUACAGUUUAGUUGUAAUUUGAAUUCCAACUAUUGUUAUAGGUAUUUGAGAAAGUUAUAGUAUUCUUAGGCUUCAUUUGGGAUUGCGGGGAGAUUGUGUUACGUGCGGUCAAAAAGUACGUUAAAAAAAUACCUUGUUUGUUUCCGUACGUAAUAUUACGUUCCGCAUAUCGAGAUGAGUCGGUUAUGAUAUAUUUUCUGCGGUCCCACCGGAGAACGCAGAAAUAUAUCACUAUAUGCGAUAGAUAGGCCUCAAUACCAAACUAAGCCUUCGGCUUCGUUUUUUACUCAACUCCAUUUUAACUAAUAGCAUUAGAUAGGCCUCAAUACCAAACUAAGCCUUAGGCUUCGUUUGGGAUUGCGGAAAAAUUGCGUUACAUGCGGUGAGAAACGACGAUGAAAAAAUACCCUGUUUUCGUACGUAAUAUUGCGUUCCGUAUAUUGCGGUUAAUCGGUUACAAUAUAUUUUCUGCGGUCCCAUCAGAGAACGCAGAAGCAUAUCCCUAUAUGCAUUUUUCUCAACUCCAUUUUAUCUAAUAGCGUUAGAUAGGCCUGAAUAUCAAACUAAGCCUUAUUAGUUGGAUAAAACCAAUUUGGUAGACCAAAAUAUUUUUCUAAGACCAAAAUGCCUUUUAAAUAGAUACCGGGUGAAUGGUACCUAAACCAGAAUAGUAGGUCGCCUUUAGAAUCAUAUUACAUCUCAACCAUCUAUUUAAAAAAAUAAAUGGUCAAAAUUUACAUGGUGUAUUAAAGUAUUACUCAAUAAAUUAAAGCAGAAUAUCAAGCUAUAUGCAAUAGCAUGAUUAGGAUUGUACACAUUUUUUUUGUGUACAGUGCAGGGUAGAAUUAAUCUUAAUAAAAUUAGGUUAAAUUACAGAAAACUCCCUGUCAAAACCUGCUUUUUCACUUCCCCCUGUAAUUUAAAAACCUACACUUUGCCCCUUUGUAAAAUAAAAAAUGUGCACUUCACCCCCUACCGUUAGGGUUCCGUUAUAACAUUUUUUUUAUGCCAAAAAUACCCUUCCGCCCCUCUUUCCUGUUGCUUCGAUGGCUUCCGGGACGGUGCCCUCGCCGGCCUCGCCCUCCUCCACGAGCUCAACCUCCUCUUCGACCGCCCUCUCGACGCCAUCUUCCUCAACUCCAACCGCCUCCGCCGCCGCCGCCCCAUCCCCGCCAACCUCGGCGACUCCCCGAACUCCAUCGCCGUCCUCGCCCACAACAAACUCGGCGGCUGCUUCCCGCCUUCCAUCGGCCGCAUGGCCGACACCCUCAACGAGAUCGUCCUCCUCGACGACGGCCUCGCCGCCUGUGUCCCGCCCGAGGUCGGCCUCCUCCGCCGCGAAUGAGAAGGAUGAGGGAGAAAACGAAAAUGGCGAAGGGCAAAAUGAUCAUUUUGUCACACCAUACCCCUCUGUGAAUAUUUUUUAUUUUACAAGGGGGUAAAGUGUAGGUUUUUAAAUGACAAGGGGGGAAAGUAAAAAAAUGGGUUUUGACAGAGGGGUUUUCUGUAAUUUAGCCAAAAAAUUAUAUCAUGUCUAUGUACAAUAUUUUUAAGAUUGGAUUCAGUACCCAUAUUCCAUCAAUAAUAACUCUUAGUCUGUCAAUAUUACUAUCUUUUUUAUAUCCUUACCUUAAUUAGAUAUGAACUCAGGGACUAAAAUGUAGAGCGCACAGAAAUUAAAAGUAGGCUAAAUUAUAAAAAAUCUACUUACACUUUAGUCCCGUUCUCAAUUAUCCUUUUGUAUUAAAAAUUACAUCAGUUACCAUCAUAAACUUUAUCAUCGUCUCAAAUAGAUCCAAAAAAAAUAAAAAAUUGGCAAAUUAGGCUGAAGAAUUUACUAAAUUGAGUUAUACAUAUCAUAUUAUUCCAUAUCUCAACAUAUAUCUAAUUUACAAUUCAAAUAAUAUAUAAAAAAGUUAGAUAAAGGAGAUUUCCUAUUUUUGCUAAUACUAUCAACAGUGAUAAUUUGUUGAGCAAUUUAUGCAAUUUACAUAAUUUAAUUGCGUUGCUUAAUUAUAGAUAAUUUUAUCUGCAAAUGUCUUUUUAUAAAAUUUUAUAGCUAAAUUCAAGUAAUGACAAAAGCCAAACAAGAAAAAAGAAUCCUGCUUCUUCAAGUAUGGAACACCAAAGCGAAUCGAAAAACGGAGAAAAAUAAGCACAAAAGCAAUUUAUGUUGUUGACGAGCAUGUCUCUCUCAGAAAACCCUAAUCCCUCAAAAUACAACCCAAUCCUUUCGCUCGUAACAAGAAUCCGCGAAAUAAGAAGUAUAAAUACAUGAAAGGGAUAAGUGUCCAUCUAUUCCUCAAAACUUUGAAAAUAUCUAAUUUAUCCCUACUUUUCUUUUGUUUUAAAUAUACCAUUCAUACGUUCCUUAUUAUUCAAAAAUGCUCCCAUAAUUAUCACUCAUUAAGUCAUCUCGACUUAAACAUAAGGUAAAUAUCUAUCAAAAUUAAAAAAAUCAAAAUACGGCUUUUGCCCUUAACUUAAGGACAAAUAAGAAAAAUUAGUGAUGGUAGAAUGAUAUAUUUAAAAGACAAAAAAAUUAAAAUACUUUUUUUGCCCCCAACUUAAGGACAAAUAAAAAAAAUUGGUAAUGGCAUAAUGAUAUAUUUAGAAGGGCAAAAUAGUAAUUUUAUACAAAUAAUAACGGUUGCUAACAGUUUACUAAUAAAAUUUAACUUUAGGGGUAUGUUUGAAAUAACUUGGAACGUUAAAAGAGUACUUAUAAUAUCAGCCUUCUAAAAUAGAUAAAUCAGAAAGUUUGAAACUUUUCAGAGAUAUAUAAGUAAUUGCCCCUACACGAAAAAGUUACCCUCAUUUUUACCCUCCCUCUCACUCUUUAGUAUUGAACAAGGUAAAACAUAUUAACAAUUCAACACAAACAAGAUCUGUUUGAUUAAGAAAAAAAGAAAAGGGGGAAAAUUAAAUAGAAAAGGGAAAUUUUUAAAAAUAGUAUAUAUAAACUUUCAAAAAGCCCUUUUUUCCCCACAUUAUCUCAUACAUGCAUGUAUUACCACAAACUAUGUGCCCUAACACUAGCUUAAGCUUUAGCCAGAUAAUUGUACUGUUGAGGAAACUAUUUUACAUUUUUUUUUUCCUAUUUAAGUCGAAAUUUCUAACCAAAAUGUGUGAAGAAGGAUUGCCCAUGUCUCAUGAAGUUGUAAUUCAGCUCGCCCGGUUUCGCGGUCUUUUGCCUGUGGAGAACAUUAAUCAUACAGGGAAAAAAAAAAAUAAAAGUUUAGAUACAUUUAGAGAAAAAUCCAAGCAUUAGUUGUAACACCCAAAAAAUUCAAGCAAAAAGGUGUCGAAAGUAGAAAACAUUCUCAAAGACUUUUUGAGAAUCUGAACAAGAUUUUGAGGUCAAUUUGAACAAAAUUGAGUCAAAUUGACACUUUGAAUAUGAACUAGAAGUCAAUUAACUGAGUUAAAUAUCAUGUUUAAAUAUGUGAGUCGUUUUAUAAACAUAUAAUUACACAAGUAUGCUCAAUAUUGAUGCCAGGCAUACUUAAGCUCUACAGCAGUUGCAUCCCUGAUCCUCGAGAUGCUUCCGCUAUCGGGACGCUGCAUUAGUCGUAAUCUUUACAAGAUUGCUGUAAGGGAAAAGUAUGCCUGACCCUCCUGGACUUUGGCCCAACUAGAUUUAGUCACUCAGAACUUUAUAUACUAGAAAGAACUAUGUGAACUUUUAACUAGUUUCAAUUAAGAAAAACUAACGAAAUUUUGGGGGUUGAUGUUUGUGUAAUUUUUCUUUACUUUUUCGAAGUUCGGGCAGCUAAAUGUAAUCGAGUAAUUCCACCGGUCCAGCACGCUUUUCCCAUUGCAAAAUUAAAAAGCCAAAAAUUCUCAGAUAAGUAGAGUGUAUUCAUACCACAUCUGAUCUUCUAACAUUUCUUCAGUGAAACCAAAUGCUCUAAGCUCCUCGACGGUAUGAUGCACAAGGAGGCUGUACCUGUAAUCAUAGUAAAAGGAUCACUAUGUAGGAUUAACACAUGUACUUCCUUUUCAACUUAAUUUAUCCAUCCUUAACUUGCAGAUCAGUUUCCUACACUAAUCAAGUGUCUAAUGAAACUAAACAAAUCAAAAAGACUAAGAAUAAGAACGAAAUAAAAAUGUUAAAGACCUGAAGAGAUCAGAACAUUAAAAACUACAUACACAGUUUAGCAUGUUUGCACUGAACUUAACUAACCUGUAGUUACUGUUCCCUUACUACUAAUCUAUUGUUAAUGGAAAAUGUCGCGGUAUAACCAUAAGAUAGUUAAUUGCAACACAUGAAGCUGCAGGGAAACGAGGUGCAGCAUGUGAAGUUCAGAAAGAACUUCGUAAAAGCCAACGAGUGCUGAAGCAGAGCAGAAAAGGGACUGUCUCUGCUAGGAUUAGUGCUUUCAGAUUGAAUGUGCAAUCAACAGCAUAUUAAUAGACCAACCAAGAAGUCUCAUGUGAAUAUUUAUCAUAUUAUCAAAGCCCCAGUAGUAUACAUGGAUAAGUAAGUCGACUCCUUUCGGAGGAACUUACGAUGCUUACACAUGAAAUGCACAAACAAAUUCACAGAAAAUUACAUGUUUCCAACUCCAACGACGAGGAGAAAAGACUAACUGCUGUUAAUGAAAUGCUAGCUGUUAUAUUUAGGGAGAGUUAUCUGCAAUAUGGCCAAAAAUAUGAGAACCAAAGUGCAAUAAAAUCGUCAAAUCCAUAUAAAGCAGGAAAUGGUUACCUGCCGCCAUUCCCUGUUUGCAUAACCAACAUUCCACCAUUAUCGAAAUUAUUCAACCCCUCGAACUGCUCCACGGUCCACUUGUACCACCUCAUCAAGAAAACUCUUAGCGUCAAUCCAUGCGAUACGAGAACGAUGUUCAUGUUCGGUGAUCUUUUGCCAGGUGGCUGAAACCGACCUAUAUCAAUAUCUGCUUUAAGGGUCUCCCUAAAGCCUGUAGCAGUAACACUGCAUAAAUAUGAAGCUAUACCUCUUAGAGGAACAGGUCAAGUGUGUUAGAGAACGAAUACGACUAUCGUGCACGCUAGGAUAGCCCGUGGUUUAUUAAAAAGCUUAUUACCUGUUAUUCGGUCGUAUACGUCAGCAGCCGAUUCUCCAUUUGGAAAACGGUAGAAAAAACGACCAUAUCGCUGGCGGGUUUCUUUCUCGACUCGCAUCUUCUCCCUGUCUUGAAAAUUUCCUAUAUCACAUACAGGGGCAGAGAGCAGAACUCUUAGUAAGAGAGCCGUGAAGAGUAACAGAUUAUCUGAAAAAGUCAUUAGGCUUUCUGUAAUGGAAUACUUCUUAAACAUUAGCAGAUCUUCUCAGAAUCUACAGGAAUACAUGCCCUCGCAUUAAUGCUGCACUGCUAUGCUGCGCACUCGUGUGAUCAAUGUGCCGCACAAUGACUACAGCAAUAAAUCACCAAUUUAAUGCAUUUUAGUAGAUAUAAGCCGAUUAGUUACAACAUGUCGGCUACUAAAUAGCAAGGAUUUAAGUGUCACGUCAUAGGAUCGUGCCGAAAAUUUGCUGGCACGAUACGCCGCAGUGAGUGCCAUGCUAUGCCAAUGUGUUUCAGUCUUAAAAAAAACCCAUAUAUCAAAGCAUAAUGGCAUGAAAUAUUUAUUAUUUUUGGCACUAGUAUAUUAUAUUUGCUUAUUAUAUAUAUUUAUCAAAUCUUUUGAACUUUAUUGAAGUAACUACUUGCUAAUUUUAAAGAAAAUAGGGCUGAGCCGUGUCAUUGGAACAAGGAUCGUAUCGUACCGAUACCUUGUCUGUUGGGACUUAGGAUCGUCCUGCAUGUUCUAUCAACAAAAAUACACGAACAAAGAAAUAGGAAAAAAUAAUAGAAAGAAAAUAUACAGAAAAAAAGAGACAGCGAUUUACGUGGUUCGGCAAGUGGCCUACGUCCACGGGGAGAGCGAGAGAGAUGUAUCCUUUAUAUGAAGAAAACAAAAAUACAAGCCCACACCUUUAUGUUUCUCUCAAUCUAAUACAAGAGCCUUAUGGUUACUACCACCCUUCUCUUGUUACAACAAAUAAGAGAAACUCAACAAGCUACUAAUUAAGUUUCUAGACUUCUCCUAAUACCUCACUUAAUUCACUCGUUGCUUGUGCUUCAUCUUGUUGUCUAAAUCUGUGGAGUGAGAAGCCUUAUAUAGCCAUACAAGUAGUUGCACAAUGGAAGUUGGCAACUUCAAUUGUCAACUCCUUAAUUAGCCUAUCUAUAGGCUUUUUGACAAUUGGGUAAACUUGUGUUUCAUGCAUGCAUGCAUGAAACACAGGCAUGCAUGCAUGAAACACAGGCAUAUAUACUUCUCUGCCCAAUGAAAGUCUUGUAUUCAUACUUUGAAUAGUUCGGUAGACCCUGUGCGCCAUAAAUCAACUUUCAUAUUUAUGUCUCUUUUGCAUAUUAGUCCAAAAAACCUUAUGGGCCAAACAAAUAAUUUUAUGCCCUAUACAAAAGAAGACAUAUAACCAACAUUGUCGGCAUAGUGGAUACGGUCGAUGCCACCGGGCACUUAAAUAUGCAAGGUGACACCCUCAACAAUAUCCUCUUCAAUCAAUUCAAUUUAAGUUCAGUCAUAUGAAGUCGAGAUUUCAUUAAAAUUAAUGACUUUACUAGCUAUACAGUAUGAAGCUCGAAUCCAUUGAAUUUAACAAAAUUGCUACUAAGACCAUGUUCGGAAUCGUCGAAAUCACCGUCUUAGACGGAAAUUUCAAAUCAGAAUUCAUUAAAAAUCCUUUGCUUGAAAACAGUUUGUUUGGUAUGAUAUCAGUAAGUAUAAGCAUAUUCAACGGCAUGAGGUUGGAUUUUUCAUAAUUUGCAUUUCUCACACAUCAAAAAAAAAAAAAAANAACAGUUUGUUUGGUAUGAUAUCAGUAAGUAUAAGCAUAUUCAACGGCAUGAGGUUGGAUUUUUCAUAAUUUGCAUUUCUCACACAUCAAAAAAAGAAAAAAAAAAGAAUUCUUAUCUCCAACCCCUUUAUGAGCUAUGUGACCAAGUACGAAACUCGAACCAAUCCAAUCCCAUCCAUUCCAAACAAGAGAAUUCCGCAACAAACCAAGUUACUUGAAUUAACGGAAUUACAAAUCAGUGCAAUCCAAUCAAGAUUUGAACUUAAGCCCUUUUUGGACGUCAGAAUAAGAGCGUUUAUUUUUUGCAUUUAGCCCCCUUAAACAAUUUUACUUUACGAAUAAUCUUAUAAAAAUUAAAAAUGCAGAAAUGAACCUAUAUUGUGCACAUAGGCAUCAUGCAAAAUAUUUUAAGUGAACACGGUGAUUCAUGCACUGUGUUUAGAAUAGUGUAUGGAGAAGAAGAGACAUUGAUUCAAUUUCUAGAAGUACAUUAUACAUUUGACUAAACGCAAUAAACAAAUCAUGGCGUUCUAAACACGGCGAGUGAAUCACCAUGUUCACUAAAAAUAUUUUGCAUGGCGCCUACAAGCACACUAUAGUGUCAUUUCUGCAUUCAUAAUUUUGAUAGAAUUAUCUGCAAAAAGAAUAUUUUUGAGGGGGCUAAAUGCAAAAUAAGCUCCGGGAUGAAUUAAUUUUCCUCCUUGAAAGACCUUGACAUCUAUUAACUUGGUAGGAAAACAUAUUUUACCUACGAAAUGACUUAUCUUACUCCGAAAAGGCCGAGUUUGGAUGCAUGAAUAUCUUGUUUGGUAUAUCUCCAUGAUUUAUUUAGCAGAGGCGGAGUGCGAUCAAACGUCUAAAAUUAGAUACUAUAUUCAGCCUUCAAGUCAUUUUUUCGAAUAAGAUAAAUCACCUAGUAGUAAGUGAAAUAUGCUAUUCUAUUAAAUCAUGAUGAUAUCAAGACCUUUCAAUGGGCAAAAAUCAAACUCGUUUCUAGAAAAUCCUUAUAGCGAAUGAGUUAUCCGCAGACUUUCAAACAGGGCCAGAAAUGAUUUGAAGGCUGAGUAUGGUAUAUCAUUCUAUACAUUUGACCGCGCUCCUGGUUUCCAAUUACAUUAGAAAAUCCUCGUACCGAAUAGGAUACCACAGGAUGACUUAUUCCGACAUCCAAACAAUUACAAUGAAAAUUCCUCGUAGUGAAUAGGAUGCCACAGGAUGACUUAUUCUGACAUCCAAACAAUUACAGUAAAAAAAUUUUAUAUCAAAUAUGAUAUUACUGUAUGACUUAUUUCGACAUUCAAACAAUUACAAUUACAGUAAAAAAUUCUUAUAUCAAAUAGGAUAUUACCGAAUGACUUAUUCCGACGUCCAAACAGAGUAGGGUCUCAAUCAAUUUGUUUAUGUUUUGUGACUUGAAAAUUUAGAACAUAUGAACUAGAAUUGGGGGAAAGGGGNCCGAUGCCGCAGAGCGUCUCGAGCGUGCGGCGGUAGGGGGAGACGUAGAAGUAGACCCUCCAAUCGUCGCCGGCGCCGCCGCUCUCGACGAGGCGGCGGAUGCGGCGGCCGCACUCGUCGGCGUCGCGCCAGCCCUGGGCCGUGAGCCCGAUGCGCGGGUCCGGGACGCGCGCGUACGCCGCCUCGUCGACGUUCCCCUCGCUCUGCCCGUGCCGCACCAGCACGAUCCGCCGCGGCCUCGGCGGCGCCGGCGCCAUCGCCGCCGCCGCCGCCGAGAGCGCCGCCGCCGAUCGCUCCAGCAGCUGCAACUCCGCGGCGACGGCGGCGGCGGAGAGCGGGGGUCGGCGGCGGCGGAGGCCGAGGGUGUCUUCGCAGCAGCGGAGGCGGAGGCGGAGGCGGGGGCGAGAGGAGGAGGGGAGAGGAGGAGACGAGGCUAAGGAAACCAUGAAUGUAAUAAUGCAAUGCAAAUACAAUUUUCUAUUGCGUAGAAGAAACUACUGUUCAUUUUUUUUUUUUUUUUAUUGGAAAAUUGGGGAAAAGAGAGGGGGGGGGGGGUUGGCGAAUGGUGAGUACGUGUGCGAUUGCGCGGGCGCGUGUGGUUGUGUGGUUGCGGGGUUGUGGGAGUGGAGAUCCUAUCGACACCUGGAAUAGCUGACAAACAUCGCCACGUUGCGAGCUACGUUCUACUGCAGGUGUGAAUCUUACUUUUCUAAAUGUAAGAAUUGACACCAAAAAAAAAAAAAAAAAAAAAAAACCUUACUGUUGCUAGAGCAAGUGGCAAAAGAUUUAAUUGUUGGUAUUCAAGCUCCCAAGUUCGAAUUCUAAUUCAUUCACAUUUCUAACUAUAUUUAUUUUUAAAUAAAAUAAACGAAGUGAAUAGCGUGCUACCUACCUCUCAAAAUAAGAAUUGAGCAAAAAAAAAAAAAUUUAACUAGAUUUUUUAGUAAAAACAAUUUUAAUAUGAUAAGUUAAAAAAAAAAAAAAAAAAAAUUAAUUUCGUACAGAUCCUGCCAAGUAUAGUGAAUUACAAAUAUAUUUAUACAAAGUUCAACUUUCAUAUAUUGUUUCUACAAAAGUCCUAAUAUUUUCAAAUAUGUUCUUCUGGUUUGCAACUGUUAAAGAACUGUUUAUUUUACAAGUAAAAUGGCCUUUUUGUCAUCACAAAUAUGUCUCUCGAAAAGUUCCAACUGUUAAUUAAAGAGAGAUAAAAAUGUCAAUUCAGCUCAUUAACUAAUUAGGGUUAAGUAUUUUACCUAUGAUUGGUUAACUAAUUUUUAAUAACGGACUUUAACAGUAGAGACAUAUUUGAAAACGUCAGGACUUUUGCAAAGACAAUAUAUAAAAGUUGAAAUUUGUAAAAGUAUAUUUAUAAUUUACUAUAUUAGUAUGAAUCUAAAUGAAAUUAAUCCUAAAAAAAAUAUAAAUCAAUAUAAGCAUACAGAUGUAAACCUUAUAUCCAACUUGUACGGCUAAUGUUGCUCAGAGUACAAAGUAAAUUACUCUUUCAGUCCUAAAACUAUAAAAGGAGAAUGACAUUUUAGUCUUUAAAUUUUAAAUUUGACUAAAUUACAGAAAUUUUCGUGUAAAUAUUUAUUUUUUUUCUCUUUUCUAACUUUUUAAAAAAUUUGUAUUUUAUUUUUUCAAAAUUUCAAGUUGUUGCAUUUAGUCCCACUCCGUCAGAAUUUAAUUCACUAUUUCGUUCAUGUCUUAUAAUUUAUACCGAAAAUAUUCUUCAAAAUCAUAAAAAAAAUAUAUUAAAAAAUUAUUUUUUUCUCUUAUAGAAGAAAUAAGAAAAAUGAAAUCACAUGGUACUAGCUUGAUACACUUUAAACUAUAGGAUAUUAAAGUGAGAAACUGUAAAACCACAAAGGGUAUUUGAAGUUUAUCCUAAAAUCUAUAAUGGGGGAGGGAGAGAGAGAAAAAAAAGGGCUAAAUUGCAGAAAAUCCUACUAUCAAAAUUUGAUUUUUCACUUUCCCCUCCUAUUAUUUAAAAACCUACACUUUACCCCCUUAUAAAAUAAAAAAUGUUCACUUGGGUAUGAUGUGAACUGUAGUGACAAAAUGAUCAUUUUGCUCCUCACCAUUUUGCCCCUCACCAUAUUCACAGGAGAGAAGGUUAAGGAUAUUUUUGGCAUAAAAAAUAUAUAAUAAUAUUUUAUAAACGGAACCCUAACGAAUUACUAACGGCAGGGGCAAAUUGAAUAUUUUUCAUUUUAUAAGGAGGUAAAGUGUAGAUUUUUAAAUGACAGAAAGAAAAAGUGAAAAAUCGAAUUUUGAUGUGGGGUUUUAUGUAAUUUAGCCAAAAAAAAAAAAAACAAAAAAAACAAAAGCUGGUGUCCACGUGGCGCCGGCUCACUGCAGCACCACCGAAAACGACGAGAUGUCCGGCUGCUUUUUCGCUUUCCUUCCUGAGCCAGCUGGCGCAUGGCCAUGGCCGCCUCCUCCGCCUCCUCCUCCUCCCCACUCCUCUUCCAUUUCGCCCCGGUCCGGUUCGCCGCCGCUCCGGUCCACCUCCCGGUCCGGUUCACCCCCCCGAACCGCCCCUCCUCUGCCGCCGCCGGCGCCGCCGCUCGCCGGAACCCUAUCCGGCCGGUGUCCUCCUCCGCCGCCGCCGCCGGCGCCUUCGCUACUCCGCUCAUCUCCCCCCACGACCAAUGGGGCACGUGGGCCGCCGCCUUCGCCGCCGCCGCCUUCGGGAUAUGGUCCUCCUUUUCCCCUCUCCCCCAAAUUUGUCAAAAAUGUCUAGAAUGCAUAAUUAUAUUGCUGACGUGGCAUUCACAAUCACUGGAAUUGUCCCCUUUGAAUGAGAUAUACGAUUGACUUAUUACUGAUGAUGUGGUGCAAGUAUAAUAUCGUAGACUUUCUCAAUUUGUGUAGAGCAGGUCUUAUUGCAGUCAAACUACAUCGUCUAUAAUUAGGCACUCGCUAAGCAAGUAUGGAGAAUUUGAAUUCACACAUUGUCCUUAAAAAAGGGGUCUAUGUGGAUCGUAAGCACUAACCAACUAUUACAAAAAUAUGUGCUAAUAAAAACGGUGCAUCCAUCGCACUUAAGGGCUCAACUACAGUGUUCGCAAAUUUCGACCUGAUUCAACACACCUGACCUUUUAAGUCUAUUAUUGAGCCUGUUGGCAUUAGGUUUAUUGUAGAUCGAAACCUCACUCAACUUAUUAGUCUUUUGGGUGUGUUAUUAUGGAUAGAAAAUUGAACAUAUUUUAGCCAAUAUAGAUAGCUAACAACCUACAGUGAAAUUUGUCAUGUUUGAAUGUUUUCUUAGGAUUUUCUAAGCUUCUUAAUUGAGCAGCACUUAUGAAUGAGCACUUUUUUGUCAUUCAGAAAAAUGAUUUAAAAUUAGCUCUUGGCUCUGUUAAUAACACCAUCCUUCUUUUCUGGGGUUUCUGAGUAGGUCGGAGAGGACCAAGCUGGGGAGCACAUUGAGUGGCGCGCUGGUGAGCACGCUGGUGGGCCUGGCAGCCAGCAGUGCUGGGAUCAUCCCCGCCGACGCUCCGGCAUACGGAGUGGUGUUGGAGUAUUUGCUGCUGUUGGCCGUACCGUUGCUCCUCUUCAAUGCCGACCUUCGCCGGGUGGUCCGGUCCACCGGAGCCAUGCUCUUGGCCUUUCUGAUCGGAUCGGGUAAAACUUUCGAUAGGGUACUAUGCAUGGAUGGUCGCAAACACUAGUGUCUAUUUGGUUCUACUUCUGCUUUUAGCUGUUGUACUAGUUACAUCCUGUAGAGUAAUUUAAAAUCGCAAAAGCUUAGAGCUUCUACUUUGGUGAAUGGUAGAAGACUAAAAGCAUCAUUUUUAUACUAUAUAAAAGGUUCAAAAAUUUUACAAGCGCUUUUAAUCUUUCCUUUAUUUACACUAUAAAAUUGCGGUUGCAACCGCCGCGGGAGAAGAUUGUUGGCUUUUUAUUAUUGACUAAAAUUGGUCUAACUUUCUGCCCCAUCAUAAUAGGCCUAGGAGAGUAAGGCUUUGUUUGGGAUUGCAGGGAGAUUGCGUUACGUGUGGUGAGAAAGUACGAUGGAAAAAUACCCUGCUUCUUUUCGUACGUAAUAUUGCAUUCCGUAUAUCGCGAUGAGUCGGUUAUGAUAUAUUUUCUGCAGUCUCAUCAUAGAACGCAGAAGCAUAUUCGUAUAUACUUUUAUCCCAACUUCAUUUUAUCUAAUUAUGUUAGAUGGGUCUCAAAACCAAACUAAGUCUAAUAAGUUAGAGUUGGGUGAGCUAAUAAGUUGAACGGAGUUGCAAUCCAUAAUAGAUAUAACUGCAAUAGGCCCAAUAAUAGACCUAACGUUUAGGUGGAUUAAGUCCGGUCGAAGCCAUGGCUGUAGUUGAGCCCUUACGUUCGACGGAUGCGCCCUUCCUAUUAGCAUGUAUUUUGGGGACGGUUGAUUAGUGCUUAAGAUCCAUAAACAUGUGGCUAUAUGCUUCUCCAAUGACGAUUGCGACCGCAAUUUUAAAGCAUAGAGGAAGGAAUAAUCGUAAGCACUUUUAGACUUUUUGGAUAUUUUAGAGUAUAAAAAUGGUACUUUUAGCCACCGCAUUACCAAACUAGAUCUCAAUGCUAGUAGCAAUACGAAUAAAUAUUAUGUCAAUAGAGUAAGUUCUUCUUUCAGUUGUGCCCUUAAAACGAAGCUAGGGCCGCGAUGCGAAUGCUUGUGAGUGAAUUAAGUCACAUACUAGCUGGUAUGAAGCAAGUCAUUUUGCAGGAUCAACCCCUAACCUCGGAAGCCAUUCACGGUACUUUAUGAAACAACACUACUUACAACAAGGCCAAAUAAAGAAAAAAAGAAUGAAUGAAAUAGAAUAGUUAAUCUUAAGUGGUUUAUGAGAAAACACGCAGAACGAAUUAAGAAAGAUUACAGAGGCUGUAACUGAGCUCUAUUCCAUUAGCUUUUCAUUGAGCAUGUGAGUUUUCAAUGAUUUAGCAGGAACUCUUUGAGAUGGCAAUUGAUUACUUAUUUUCCGCAUUUUAUGUUAGUUUUCAAUGAUUUCCCUUCGUUUCAAGCAUUUUAUGUUGAUCACAAAUUUUUGGAGUUCUAUUUCAUCAAUGUCCGAAAUUUGAUCCUUCAUAUGACAGUUGCAACGAUAAUUGGCACGGUCGUCGCGUAUUUAUUGAUACCGAUGAGAUCGCUAGGACAAGACAGUUGGAAGAUUGCAGCAGCACUCAUGAGUAGUUACAUCGGAGGAAGUAAGAUCAAAAGUUUUCUGUUAUUAUUGUCGGAUUGUUGGCGCUAACCAUUAAUUCCAAAAGCUCGAGCUGUUAGAAAUACGCAACCAAUUCACUUAUACAUACUUGAAUAUUGAAGAUUGAAGAUUGAAUUGAUUGCCUGUAAAAUAAAAGAUCAAACAUCAAAAAAUUUGGUUCUAUUCACAUCAUUCUUUCCAGAAAAUCUGUACAAGGCAUUCCUACUUUCAGACAAAUUAACUGAAACUGACUUCAGACUCUUGUUGCUGACCGGAAUUUACUGAAAUUUUAGACCUGAAAUGUGUUGAUUUUGGUUAGAACAUUUAUCCGAGCGAGUAGGAUUGUAUUCAUUCACUGACUAUGCUGUAAAUAUGCCACAUUUUGGUGAUCUCAAAUCGACUAAUUCGGUUGCAUCCUCUUUCUUUUUUUUAUUCUAGCCGUCAAUUUCGUUGCCGUCUCAGAAGCUCUUGGCGUUUCUCCAUCAGUUUUAGCGGCAGGGGUGGCUGUCGACAACGUCAUCUGCGCGGUAUAUUUCACAUUACUUUUUGCUUUAGCAUCUAAAGUACCACCAGAAGCUACAACUUCCACUGCAGGUGUGUUUUCCCUGCUCAAUUUCCGUCGUGUUUCAACAGUUAGGAUCAAAAAUGAUUCUGUCGCAUUACUUCGUAUCGCAGAAGUCGUGAACUUGUAAUAUGAUAGAUGCUAUGAACACUUGAGCAGGUGUUCAACUGGAUUCUGAAUCUAAGAGAGAAAACAAGUUACCUGUACUAGAAAGCGCUACGGCGAUCGCUGUAUCCUUCGCAAUCUGCAAAGUAGCUGCAUAUAUAACUAAUAAGUUGGGCACUCAGGGAGGGAUUCUCCCCUGCGUUACGGCUAUUGUGGUCGCCAUGGCGACCUUGUUUCCUUCACAGAUUGGAGCCCUCGCCCCUGCCGGUGAGGCCAUGGCUUUGAUUCUUAUGCAGGUAAAGAUUCCUCUCGUCACCGACUUAUUCUCUGCGCAUGUCCAUGCACGCACACAUACACAAUCAAACGAAAGGCGCACGUAUGCAGAUGCAUCACACUCGUACUGCACGAGUACAUAUGCACACAAUCGAGCAUACGUGCGCAAACACCAAUGCGCGGAUGCACACACAUUACGAACUGCAAAAGCGGAAAGCAUAAUGUCUACAUCGGAAUCGCAAAGUGAUUUUAGUUAACUUAUAUUUGCUCAUGUGUAACGUAACAGGUGUUCUUCGCGGUGGUGGGAGCAAACGGUAGCAUUUCAAACGCGCUCACGACGGCGCCGAGCAUCUUCUUAUUCGCGUCGGUGCAAGUGCUGGUCCAUCUUCUAGUGAUCCUAGGAGUCGGACGGCUCCUUCGGUUCGAUCUCAAGUUACUUCUCAUAGCUUCAAAUGCCAACAUCGGCGGCCCGACAACAGCUUGUGCAAUGGCGACCGCGAAAGGCUGGAGUUCCAUGAUCAUUCCCGGUAUCCUCGCAGGCAUCUUCGGAAUCGCCAUCGCGACGUUUCUGGGAAUAGGCUUUGGAUUGUUCGUUCUGAGACAUAUUUAAUGGUUUGCGAGUUUGGUUGCAAAUAGAAAUUUUGUGCAUUCCUAUUGACAUAUCAUCUUGCAAUGUAAUGCCAUAGCUUAUUUGUGCAUAAAACUUACACUGUCUAAUCAGUAUUCGAGAUACCUACCAACUGUGCUAUAGGAUAAUCUUCAAACGAACAUGUAAUGUUGAUGUCUAACUUGCGUAAAAGUAUAAGAUUUUGUUUUUCUUUUUCGCUUUGUUUCAACUUGAAAUUACUAUAUUACCCUUGAAUUGCUAUGUCACCAUCUAUGCUACAGUAGUUGGUUGGUAUGGGAGGGUCCUGAUCAAGAGGUCGGAGGUUCGAUCCUCUGCUCGCGCUUUCAGAAAAAGAGUGAUUUAAUUUAAACUCCAGUGUAUUGGAAAAAUAAAAUGGCUUAAUUAUAUUCUACUACACUGUACACUGUAUUUUAAGUUUAUUUUUAUUUUUCUACCUUAUACUAUUUUCUGUUCCCAUAGAUAUCACUAAAUUAUAUUUUCUCUCCAAUUUCUACAAUACUUUUAACAAAUCUCUUAUCUUAGACAAAAUCUAAUUUUUUAUUAAAAAAACACCGGUUAAAUGGUUAAAAAAAAUAAAAUAAUUCUCUGCAAUAGGCUCAUUAAAAGUUUCUAUUAAACUAUUUUUAAUUAUUUUUUAUGUCAAAAUGAGUUGAAUAUAUACCCUACUACUUUUAACCAGCAUUUCUAAUAACUUUUAUGUAAAAUUACAUGCUUAUUGCUUAUAGUCUAAAAAUCCAAAAAAAAAAAAAAGAAUAGUUAAGCUGGUGCUCUGCAGAAAUAAAACAAAAAACAAUAGUUCAAUAUGUAAGUGAAAAAACAAAAAAAAAAAAAACAAAAAACCCUGUAGAUUACAAUGUAGUAUAAUGUAAUUUAACCAAAUAAAAUAUGUGAAUACUCUGUAGGUUUCUUGGGUGGACCUCCAUGUUCACCCACACCCAGAAACAAAAAAAAAAAAAAAAAAAAAAAAGAAAAAAAAGGAAGAGAGAGAGAGAGAGAGAGCUCAAACUUGCUAUGAGAGAAAAAUAAAUAAUGUUCAAUUAUCCUUUUUACAAGGUUUUACAUCUCAGCUCCUCUCAAACACAACUCUUCCAGGUAAUGCCCAAAGCCAACAACAUUAGCAAUCCAAACAAAAAAAAUACUCCCCCCCCCUCAUAAAUAUCAUCUUAAGAACAAAAUUAAUACAAAAACAAGAAAAUUAAGCACCAUCACCAACAUGAGAGAAAAUUGAUUCUGCUCCUGGGAAUGGUUUGUCGAAGGAAGCCCCGAAAAGAGCAUCGCAGCGUUCGAUUCGCUGUAUCUCGUUCGUGCUUAUCCGUCGUAACCCUGUUAGUCCCACAUAGAAAGAUUAUUGAGAAAAUAAAUGAACAUAUGUCGAACCAGCUCGCCGGUAUUAAUAACUUUGAGCUUCAGCAUUUCUGAACUUACAUUUUUUUACUCAUUCUGUUCAAGUCAUUAAUACUUGGUUUGAUUAGUACUAAAAACACUACUCACACAAAUCACAGAGCUGAUGAAUCUCGGAAUUCGUGCUUUGUUCCGAUUUGUGCUUGUUCGAUGAGAUUCUGCUCCUCGGGUGUUUCUUCUUCAUCUUCGGAUUCUUCAUAAUCGGAGUCUUCUGGGGACCCUACGAUACUAUUUGGCGGCUUGUCGCCGGCAUUAAUGAGAUUUUUGAACCACGUACCAGCGAAAAGUGGGUCCGGGCUAUUUGAAUUGCUAGGGUUCUCUUCUGUCACUGGUGUAGUGUUUGAGGAUGAACCAGUGAAGAAUCUGUAGGCCACCUUGCCGGCAUUUAGAAUUUCUUCUUUGGCUUGUCUAAACUGCACUCAAAAUAGAGAAAACAGAAAAGGAUUUAUAUGAGUAGCUAGCUCAACUAAAUUGAAGCAGAAAUUUUCAAAUACAUGAUGCGUGAAGCAUAAUGUGUAAUAAAUUUGUUCCUUGGAUGCCUAAAAAUGGAUCAAUUUUCUGAAAAUUUUGAGCUGGAAGUAUGUAAGACCAAGAAUUUAAGUGCCGUGGCACGGGAUCGUGCCAGAAACUUGCCGGCACGGUACGGCACAGUGCGUGCCGAUGCGUGCCAGUCAAAAAAAUUUCCGGUCAAAAUAAUUCUUGUGUGUCAACACAUAAUAGCAUAAAAUAUUUAUUUUAUUUAGCAACAAAAUAUUCUAACUAUUUAUUAUGUCUUUUUAUCACAUCUUUUAAACUUUAUUAAGAAAAUUACUUACUAAUUUAAAGAAUAGAGGGUUUUGAACUGUGCCAUCGGCACGGGGUCUGUAUCGUGCUGGUAUCUUGUUGGCACAGUACGACACGGUGAAUACCGCCCGUGCCGACGGGCGCUUAAAACCUUGUGUAAGACUUUCAAUAUUUAUGAGUAAAAAAUCAAAAAGAAAAAAGCGUCUUCUCUAUCAGCUUAAGCUUUUGGAACACCACUUUUUUUUUUUCAUGGUAUUAGAACAGCGGGUCCGCUUAGUUCAAACUCAAAAGUCCCGGCCUCUUAAAAGAUUCAAAACUCAAAAAUGAGAGGGGGGAUGCUUAGUAUUAACAUAGUAAGAUAUCUAUCAACAGCAUUUGAUGAAAUCUGUUGUAUCACGUAGCAACUGAUGUAUAAUUGGCACCAAGGUCGGUGUCAUGAGCAUAUAGUGGGACAUGAAUAUCUGUUACUGAAUUUUUUUCCAAGAGCCUAUGUUAUUGACGACUCAAUCUCCAUUACACGAUCAAUUAUAUCUAUGUGAAAAUUCCAGUUCACAAACUGCGUAGUAUAGAAGCUAAUUAUGAUACAGCAGAAAACAGAAAAAAGGGAAGGGUGUGCCAAAAUAAUUCAGAAAUCAAAGAAGCUGAAUUUCAAACCAACCUUUGUCGCUGUAGUUUCCGCCACCUCCAUUGCCGCAUCACCAGCAUUGGCAAACCGAUUAACCCAACCUGUGAUGUCGCAACACCUGACGUUAUAAACAGUAAAACAAUUUCCCAGCAGCAUAGAAUACACUUUUAUCUAACUAACAAAUAUAAGAGAACAGCGAAAAUACCAAACGGGAAUAGAAAUGAAUCACCUUUCACGGUUACACUAUAGUAAUAAGUGCUCAUCUAAUCACAAACUCUGCGACUUCAAAAGCAUACUCUAAUAGUACAAGAUAGGUGGCAGCAAAUAACUUUUCUAAUAGGAACUUCAACAAUGGUAAACUGAUCAAGACAGGAGAAUAUAUACAGGGCAUGUAGUUUCUUCCCAAAUCAUCUGACGCAGUUCCGUAGAUCGAUUUUCAAUUUAUAAUUGUAUUUUGUCUACACGAUAAGCACUCAUUGCACCCAUUCACUUCAUAUAUCCAGCCUUAAAUUAUCUAUCCUACACUCCCCUUUGUACUCCCACUGUUUUUGGCUACUCGACCCAAAGUAUUGAAAAUGCUACAUUUCUUGGCAAUCGAUAUUUACGAAAAUACAUCUUUUCUCCCACUCCUAAUACCGCCCUAGAUAUCUUUGGUCUUCGUCCUACUUAAAGCCUCCAGCUUUGUCAUUACUGUUUGAACUUUAGAUUACUGCAUUACAUAAAUCUUUCAAAAGAAAAAAACAAUAACAAUGGCAUAAAAUAGGUCAAAGGAAGCUUCUGCUCCAUCCAUAGUCCAGACCUUGUAAAGCAGUUGUCACAAAGAAAGAUAGGGAAACAUAUUCAUUAGCUAAAGAAAAUUCAAAUUAGUUAAGGGCCCAUUAGACAAAUAAACAGUAAAAAAAAGAGGCACUUAAAGCAUUAUCUUCAAGCAAAAAUUACUUUACAAAAACGAAAGGAGAAUAUGCAUUACCUGGAAGCUUAGGCACAUCAAGCCUCUCGCAGAAAGCAUCACAGAAAUGAUUGCAGUUUCUAGAUAGAAGGUCGUACGAGUUCCCAGGCCAUUCUCUGCUAAGUUCUCUCAAUAUUUGAUUUACCGUGAAAAUGGAACAGCUUGUGUUGCCAAGUACGAUGGACUCACGAAAGGUAUACAUAGGAUUCUCUCUCAGUGGACAACUGAAAACUCCACUACCAUAGUCGCAGUAUCCAAAGGACCAUUCUUCAUCUCCGUAGACCUGCCAAUACAGAUUAACGAGAUAUGUACUAAAAGUAAUUAAACUUGGAAUAUUACUGCAUGGUAAAGUAAAAAACUUCAUAAUUCAUGAACAAUUCAAUAAGGACACCGCUUGAGAACGUAGAUAAUAGAAAUUAACAGUUGAAAGUAUACAGAUUUAAACAGUUUUAGAUGAAUUUUCAACAGCAGUAGUCAAGAUUAUACAGUUGAAUAAGCUACACAGCAUGACAAGAUGAAAAAUAAGUUAAGACAAUACAAAGGCAAAUACAAAACACUGAUAUGAAAGGUCUUCAAUUGUGGCCAUAGCACAAGUAUUCAGCCUUUUUACCAAUGCUGUAUAUACCUUUGUCUGCAUGAGUGUCUUCAGUUGUUUUGCCUUAGUUGAGAAUUGAGAUGUUUCAUGACUCUCUAUGGUUUUUUAGUGUUUUCCCAUAUGGCCAUAUACCACUGUGAAAUCUACGAACAACAGAAUCAACUUCCUCCCACAGAAGACUUGUUAAAUUUGUUAACGCUUCUCUUACCAACUUUUAGAGCCUCUAAAUGCAAUCAUUACAAUCACUUCCAUAGAGAAGUUCAUUUCAUAACUUGUUUCUAGCAAAUUGUUACAAGUUGCAGUAUGAUUAGCUUUCCCAUCAAUGGUCAACCCUGAUAACCAACUUGCAUGCCAACCGAUUUUCUUCUCAACAUUAUCAUUUACUACGUAUCUCCAAAAGAAAAAGGCACAGCGAGUUCUUUCCAUAUAACCUAAUGAUUAGCAGUAGAAAUCAGCAUGAUAAUAGAGUAAAUAAAUGAGAGACAAAUUUGCAAGAACAUACAUCAAGAUUUCCAUGUGACACCCCAAUAGUCCCACGUCACAUGGAGCAGGGAUAAUAAUUGGGUAUGUAAGGACUACGGACUCUACUACUGAUAACUCAGUUUAAACAUUUUGGGCAAGUGGUUUGGGCCUAGCGAGUUAUUAGUGCUACCGAGAUAGGCCGUCACAUUUGAAGGCUAAAAAAAGACCAUACUGGUGCACAAAACUGCUACCGUAGCAGGGUCUAUGGAGGGCAAAAUUCAUGCAGUCUCAUCCCCACUACCGGAAAGGUUGUUGAUGUGGACCAAAUCUGCUUUAGAAGACACUGGAAAACCUUAGCAACACAAGUGUACUGCAUUGAUCUGCAAAUUUCACGAUAAAGUAACAGAAUUUGUACACUGCAUUGAUCUUGGGCUCUACCCAUAACAGCAAACAAAUAUCUCAUUUUCCUCAACCACUAACAAAAUUUCCCAUCACAAUAUGUCCCAAACUUCGACUUUAUUUGCCCUUAAAAACGCACAAAAAGAACUAGGUAUGUAGAAAUCGGCCCCAACUCAUCUCAAAUUUCACUGUACACAAGUGAAAUUUGAUGAAAUUCCCUAUCUGUGGCCCUAUUAAAUCUAUACUAUAUUGAUCUGAAUUCAUUUCAACCAAAAAUCAUACAUUUUUCCAAUUCCAACCACAUAUCCUUCCAAAAAAAUCCAAUUAAUUGCUCUUAAAACACGCAGAAUGAAGCGAGAAUACACCAAUCGGCUCUAACCCAUCACGAAUAUUACGGAAAAAACUGGAAUUUAAUGAAGAGAACCAAUUUUUGGACCUAUUUCGGGACAAUUACUAUACUGCAUUGAUCUGUGUUUCACCAAAACAGCACAACGAAACCCUCAUUUGAACCAAAAAUCGCGUAAUUCUCAUCACAAAGCGUCCCAAAAUUCCACUAAUCGCCCUAAAACAAACGCACAAAUCCGCUACAACCAAUCUCAAAUCGUGCAACAAAAGAACCAAAAAAAAAAAAAAAAAAAAAUUAAAAUNGAUCACGUCGAUCCCAGCUUCAACGUCGGCGCCCCCAUCUCCGCAUGCGCUCCCCAAUACUCCCCUCCGACGACGAACGUCGUCCUCUACCCUCCUCUGGAUUACCCACCGCCGCCGGAGAUUUAUCCUCCUCCUCCUCCUCCUCCUCCUCCCCCCACCCCCCCUCUCUCUCUCUCUCUACACCGCUACUACUCAAUGAUUCGUCUCUCUCUCCCUCUCUAGGUCUUAGGGUUUCCUCUCCGAGGACGAAGAAGAAGAAGAGGGGCUCUCUCUCGCUCUCUGUGUGUGUGUCGAAGAAACCCCAAAACUACGAUACCGUUACGGCGUUACCACGGGGAGUUUGGGGGAGGGCGGAGUUGCGAUUCCGCUCCGCUCCGUUCCGUUCCGUUAUGUUCCAUUGGUGGACUUUUUUCUAAAAUAACCUUUAGAAAAUUUUUAAUUCGCCAAAAAUCCUUUCAAAAUGUUAUUUGGCUAGACAAAAAAUUAAAAAGCUGUGAAUUAUUUCUCAUUUUAAGAUUAUUAGCGUUGCAUAUUGUAUUUGAUUUGUUAGAAUUUUUAUGUAGUCGUUAAAAUUUCACACCGAAAAUAAAAAUUACCGGUGAAUCGUUUAUCACUUUUUUAAAAAAAAAUGACAGUAAAUAAUUUACUGUCUUUCAAAUUUUAUUAAACUCAAACCCUUUAAAAAAUUAAUUACAAAAAAAAAGUAAUUGACGAAUAAGUUUAAAUGAAUUUUCUAGGACCUUAUUGGAAACAUUUUAAUUUCUUUCUCUUAAGAAAGCUCCAAACUAGGGUUGAGUUUAAAAUUUUGUAUAGAUUGCAGAGAUAGUACGUAACACAUGACAAAAAUACAUUUUAAAAGAAUAUUUUAUGUAUUUUUAUAAAUCAUAUAUAUAAUGUAUUCUACAAAUCGUGCUAAUUAGCAAGGCUAGCAAUCCAGCUCAUUGUUUGCGAGCCAGCUCGCAUUUAGCUCCAAAUGAGUUCUACAUCAAUUACUCGUUUAAUAAAUAAGUCGAACACGAAUUAGAGACAGCGGACUUGUGUUUAGCUCGAUAUUAAAAAUUUCUCCUAUUUGGAUUUUAGGUCAACCCAAAUAUAAAGAGACUUUUAUUUUGUGAACUCAAUUAUUAGAUUAAAUUAAAUUUCUAAUUUUCUAAUUCUUUUUCAACUUUUCACCUAGUAGUAUGUUUAAACAAUCUACCUUACUAUUCGCAAGCUAUCGCAUAUUCUGCUCAUUAAUAAACAAGUCGAACAUGAGCUUGAUUUUUUUGCUCGAUAUUUUAAUGCGACGGUUCGUAUUUCGCACAUUUAAUAAACAAGCAAACAUGAGCCUGUGAGACCCCAAAUAGUCCUAUAUAUGAGGUAUAAUAGGGCUACACUCUUAACUCGGCUUAAGUAUUUUGGGUGGUAGCUAGACCCAAGAGGUUAAGAGAGUUAAGUGUGCUAGGACGGGAGUAGUUCUAGGAUGAGUGACCCCCUGAAAAGUCGGGCGUCACAGAGCCUGUUCUAGUCUGCUCGUGUUCGAUUCAUUGACGGCCCUACUGGUUAGGCUAAAAAAUGACAUUUAUAAUCCCACCUAAAAAAAAUAGAAAAAUAUAUUUCUAUGUACUUACGGCUCAAUAAUAUUGGCACGGGUCGGGCUAUAAACCCGAGUAGCAGUGGGCCAAGCUGGGCCUCCUUUUGGGCUUACAUUAAGGAGCCAAUUCUAGGCCCAGUACACCGCUAAAUUUUCGAUGCUAUUUUAGGUCAAUAACUAAUAUAAAAUGACCUUGGUCGGGUCAGGUCGGGUCAGGUCGGGUCGGGUCAAAUGUUGAGAAUAUCGAAUUAGGUCGAGUCAUCCUAAGAAAUCGAAAAUCCAAACUCGCUCUAAAACUCUUAUUGGGUCUCUUUUAGUAUCAACUCAAACUGAUCAGACGAGUCGAAUUUAAUCUGCACUCUUUCGGUGUGUAAUUUUCUAGCACAGUGUGGGUAAACUUCAGUGCAUUCCUUCUAAAUUCAUAAAUAUGACUAAGUGUGCACUGCCACAUUUAUUAUCUUUACUAGUGAAGAGACCCGCGCUUCGCAGCGGACGGAAACUAUAAAAGCUACCAAUAAAAAAUAAAAAGUAUCCAUCAAUAAAAAAAAGAAAAAUAAAACUUAUCACAAAAACAAUUAGAUAUAGAUAUAUAUAUAUAUAAUUUUAAUUUUAAUAAUAAUUAAUAAUAAGGAUGAUGUAAUAAGAAUAGUAAUAAAAGAAUUAUUUUUCAUUCUCAAAGUGAAACAACUAAUUGAAAAUGAUCUUUCUUCGAUACUGAAUAUUAUCGGAAUCUAAUUCAAAACUUGCAAAACAAUAAUUGAUAAAUAAUUUUAGAGAAAAAGAAAAUCAUAUUCAAAUGGAACAACAACUUGUAUUGAGAUGAUUUAAUGGUCUUCAAAUUGACUAUUAAAUCUUGUUCUCCAAAGAAGUAAAAAUUUUUCAUGUAAAAGGAGGCAUUAAGACAGUUCGAAAAACUAAAAAACAAAAAAAAAUCAAAAAACGAAAUAAUUAUUUUAAUAAAAAAUUUCAUAUCAUAAAACAUCUAAAUAAUAUAUAUAUAUACCUGCGCGCUUAUCAUCUUGAACUUUCUUAGUAACUCCAGGCUGUUUAUCGAUAUCAGGAUGGUACUGAAAAAAUAAAAAAUAAAAAUCAAUACAAUUGUGCAAAUCCAACAUGAAAGAAUGUACAGAUUAUAUUAUUAAACAUGCUGAAGAAUUCUAUAGAUAAAUAAAAGUAGAGAAUUGAUUAAUCUGUAUUAAAAAAGGCAAGAUGGUAAAGAAAAUGGCAAUGAAGAAGCAGGAGAAGAAACCACAACUUAUGGUGAAGAGAAAUGGUUGCAUGCCGGAAAAAUAAAUUGUCAUAUGAAAAAGAGAAACGGUCGCAUGGAAAAGAUAACUUUCAUAUGGAAAAGAGAAACGGUCACAUUGGAAAGAUAAAAUAUCAUAUGAAAUUAUGGCGAAGAGAAACGGUUGCAUGGCCGGAAAAAUAAAUUGUCAUAUGGAAAGAGAAAUGGUCGCAUGGAGAAGAUAACUUACAUAUGGGAAAGAGAAACAGUCACAUUGGAAAGAUAAAAUGUCAUAUAAAAUAGAAAAACGGUUGAAGAAAGAGGAGAGGUCGAUUCAAAGAGAGCAAAAGAUAAAAUGUCAUAUGAAAAAGAGAAACGGUUGAAGGAAGAGGACAAGUUGGUUCAAAGAGAGCAAAAAAAUAUAAAAAAUUAAAAAAAAAAAAGAGGACUUGCCAUGUCAUCAGUUUUAUUGGGUAUUCAUAUAGAGUUAUAGAUUAUAGAUCCUUAGCUCUCUACUUUUUAAAAAUAAUUAAUUAGUGGGUGAACACACACACACACACACACAUAUAUAUAUAUAUAUAUAAUAAAGGUUAAUUUCAUACAUGCCCCUACAAAUAUAGCGAAUUAUAAAUAUAUCUCUAUAAAAUUCAACUUUCAAAUAUUGUUACUACAAAAAUUCUAAUAUUUUCAAAUAUAUUCCUCUGAAUUGUUAUCGUUAAAGCAUUGUUUAUUUUAUAAGUAAAAUGACUUUUUUGCAUCACAAAUAUGUCUCUCAAAAAGUCUCAACUGUUAAUUAAAGAGGGGUAAAAUGAUCAAUUUAUCUCAUUAAUUAAUUAGGAUUAAGUAUGUUACCUAUGAUUAACUUAACAGUAAGAACAUAUUUGAAAAUAUCAGGACUUUUAUAGAGACAACAUGUGAAAGUCGAACUUUAUAAAGAUAUAUUUGUAAUGACCUGUAUGAAAUUAACACUAAUAAUAAUUACUCUUUAAAGUGCAUACCAACGCCCUUAUCUUGUUUUUAAUUGCAAUAGUUCAUGCUGUAUUUGGCUACUCUUAAGUGGAGAACCAUAAUUGCUCUCACUACUUUAUUACACUUUCCUAUAGUUUACUCUUAAGGACAAUGCUCAUAAAGGCUUUAAUUAUUGUCACAACCACUUCUUUAUAAAAUAGUAGCCACUACAUUAAGGUUCCCUUUUUGAGGAGAACACGCUAGAUAAUCCGUGGACAGAUCAUUAUAUUUACAGAUUACAUAGAUAUAAAUAAAAUUUAUUCAUAAAUUUUUAAAUAAUUAUUUUUUUAAAGAAAAACUUCAAAAACCUUCCAUGUGGUUUCGUAGUUUCUCACUUUACUCCCCUAUGGUUUAAAAUGUAUCAAUUUGCCCUCCUGUGGUUUCUUUUUUCUCUUUUUCUUAUCAAUUUCAUUAUUUUUUUUCUUAAAUCAGUGAUAAAGUUAAAAUUAAAGAGUACUAAAGUGAAUAUUUGAUAAAUCUAGAUUGGUAUCUAAAGUUUUUUGUAUAUAAUUUAAUGAAAUAUUAACGAAAAAAUUACCGAAAAGAUAAAAACGAAACCACAUGGGAGCAAUUUGAUACAUUUUAAACCACAGGGGGGCAAAGUAAGAAACUACGAAACCAUAGGNNNNNNNNNNNNNNNNNNNNNNNNNNNNNNNNNNNNNNNNNNNNNNNNNNNNNNNNNNNNNNNNNNNNNNNNNNNNNNNNNNNNNNNNNNNNNNNNNNNNNNNNNNNNNNNNNNNNNNNNNNNNNNNNNNNNNNNNNNNNNNNNNNNNNNNNNNNNNNNNNNNNNNNNNNNNNNNNNNNNNNNNNNNNNNNNNNNNNNNNNNNNNNNNNNNNNNNNNNNNNNNNNNNNNNNNNNNNNNNNNNNNNNNNNNNNNNNNNNNNNNNNNNNNNNNNNNNNNNNNNNNNNNNNNNNNNNNNNNNNNNNNNNNNNNNNNNNNNNNNNNNNNNNNNNNNNNNNNNNNNNNNNNNNNNNNNNNNNNNNNNNNNNNNNNNNNNNNNNNNNNNNNNNNNNNNNNNNNNNNNNNNNNNNNNNNNNNNNNNNNNNNNNNNNNNNNNNNNNNNNNNNNNNNNNNNNNNNNNNNNNNNNNNNNNNNNNNNNNNNNNNNNNNNNNNNNNNNNNNNNNNNNNNNNNNNNNNNNNNNNNNNNNNNNNNNNNNNNNNNNNNNNNNNNNNNNNNNNNNNNNNNNNNNNNNNNNNNNNNNNNNNNNNNNNNNNNNNNNNNNNNNNNNNNNNNNNNNNNNNNNNNNNNNNNNNNNNNNNNNNNNNNNNNNNNNNNNNNNNNNNNNNNNNNNNNNNNNNNNNNNNNNNNNNNNNNNNNNNNNNNNNNNNNNNNNNNNNNNNNNNNNNNNNNNNNNNNNNNNNNNNNNNNNNNNNNNNNNNNNNNNNNNNNNNNNNNNNNNNNNNNNNNNNNNNNNNNNNNNNNNNNNNNNNNNNNNNNNNNNNNNNNNNNNNNNNNNNNNNNNNNNNNNNNNNNNNNNNNNNNNNNNNNNNNNNNNNNNNNNNNNNNNNNNNNNNNNNNNNNNNNNNNNNNNNNNNNNNNNNNNNNNNNNNNNNNNNNNNNNNNNNNNNNNNNNNNNNNNNNNNNNNNNNNNNNNNNNNNNNNNNNNNNNNNNNNNNNNNNNNNNNNNNNNNNNNNNNNNNNNNNNNNNNNNNNNNNNNNNNNNNNNNNNNNNNNNNNNNNNNNNNNNNNNNNNNNNNNNNNNNNNNNNAAACCACAUGGGAGCAAUUUGAUACAUUUUAAACCACAGGGGGGCAAAGUAAGAAACUACGAAACCAUAGGCGGGUUUUUUGAAGUUUUCCCUUUUUUUAAUCAUGCCUGCCAGCAGUAGUAUACAAGUUAUCUAUAAAAUGCUUUUUUUUUCUUUCUAUUCUUACAUUUUUCAAACAUAGAUAAUAUAUAUAUAUAUAUAUAUUAUUUUUAAAAGAUCGAAAUAUAACUUAUUGUUUAAAACAUCAUAAUAUACAACAUAUAACAAGAAAAAAAAACACUAGGAGAAAUUAGUUUUAGGAUUUUGGGGAUAGAUAAAAUAAAAGAGUAUUCACUUUUUUAUUUUUUAAAUUUAUUGAAAAAUUUAUAUAUGCCGGUGUCCGUAGGAACUCGCAGGUAAUCCAGAUUACUCAUAAUCUAUACCCACUAGUUUUACCUAAAAUUUUUGGGCAAAAAAUUAGUACACAUACCUACAAAUUUAUGGAUAAUCCAUAGGUACCCGCAGGUAUAAAUUGAGAUUACUAGGUUUAGGUUUGCUACAUGAAACUUAUUUAUUUAUUCACCAAUUAUAGUUUUUUUAAUCUUAUCAAAUACUUUGAAUAAGUAUAAAUUAAAUUAUCUACCACCCCUUUUAGUGUGGCCAACAUGCAUAUGUGCUCUUCAUAAGUGGGGCUUCUAUUUUUUUGACUUUUUUUAGUGGAUGAUGAACCCAUAGGGUUAGUGGGGUUGACUAGUAAUCACCAACUUGUUACAUCAUUUGGUAAAAUUGCACUUGAAUAAACAAUUAAUGUAGUUUUUGGAUCCAAAGAAGCACUAUGCAAAACUAUUUUUUGCAUAUCCAAGAGCCAAUUAAUUGAGCUCUUAACAAUGUAAUUGGACAAUAUAUAAUAUGUUCCUACCACAAAUAGUUGUAAUGAGAUCAUAAUUCUAUGUUCUUAGAUACCUUAAUAAUCAAGAUCAAUCUCACAAUGUAAUUCUUCAAAGCACGUUAUUUAUUAACUUAAAAUUACACAGAAAAUAUAGAAUACUUCGAAUAUUCUUUGUUGUUUGAAAACCUGGCUGAACCAACUGGUCAGAUCGGUUGUAUAAUGAGCUGAUAUUUAAACAACUAACUAAAAAAUGAUUAAACAAUUGAUUGAAAUAGUAAAACCUUGAACCAGUAACAUCUCUGAAUAAUUAUUGUUCAUAAUAAUUUGAGAGAGAGAGAGAGAGAGAGAGAGAGAGAGGGGGUAAUGACAUGGAAUGCACCCAAAGGUGGGAAUUAAUUGGGAAGGUUUGAUAAAAUGGCUCCACAAGAUUUGUCUCUUUGCCCACAAGAGAUAGUGUUUGAUGUUUGCUUCAAGGAAUAAGAGAAAAUAAUCAAGGGUACAAUAGCUUAAAUUUUUUGAGAAAAAUAAUUAUUUCGUAUUGUUUAAUAAAACAUAAGCAUAUCAAACACGCACGUGAGAGGGGGAGUGUUAAAUAUAAAAUAUAUAAAUAUUAUUAUCUGAUAGCUUAAAUUUUGAAAAAAGAAAUGAUUAAUUCAUAUUAUUUAACAAAAAUAUUAUUUUAAUUAAUCAAAUACUCUGUUCUCUCUCUCUAUAUAUAAACAUAUUAACGUUAAUUGCAUACAGCUCCUAGUAAGUAUAUCGAAUAGUAAAUAUAUCUCUAUAAAGUUAAACUUUUUUAUUUUUAUCCCUACAAAAGUCUAGUAAUCACUACAACAGAAUUAGGUUAUAGGGACACAUGUUUGGGACACUUUUGAGUAAGUGUCCCAUUUAUGCUAAAACUUAAAAACAUAUCUACUAAUGCCUAAAUAUAAAGCACAAUCCAACCAAAAAUAAAAGAUUAUUCUACUUAACCCAUCACACCCAGUCCAUUUGGCCGGAUUACAAACAAAAAAGAAAAAAAAAAAGAAAAAUUAAUUAUCAUCUUUUUUUCUCUCUUCACUCAAUCCACUGAAAUUCUAGACGAAGAGCCUUUCCUGUCGUCCUCCUCCGCCACCGCAACCAACGAGAUAGAGUUUCGGUGGUUGCUAAAUGCUUAAAUAAGUGUUGGUAAAUUAGCAGCACUCUUUUAGGUUAUAACGACACUCUUUAACUGUCACUAUAUACCUAGCGACCCCACAUAUAGCAACACUUUUUAAAAGUGUCGGUAAUUUUAGCUAGCAGCACUUUUUUAACAUGUACCUACAUUUAAAAGUGUCGCUAUAGACCGUUUUUGUUGUAGUGAAUAUCCAUUUGGUUUGUUACCGUUAGAGUACUAUUUAUUUUUUAACGGCAUAUAAGUGAAAUAACAAUUUUGCUCUUACAAAUAUAUCCCUCCAAAAGUCCUAAUUGUUAGAAUUAUGAAGAAAUAUAGUCCAAAAAAAUAUUUUAUCCAAGAAUAUAAAAAGGGUAAAAAAGUCAAUUUAACUCAUUCACUAACUAAGGUUAAAUAUUUUACUCAUGAAUAACUACAAUUUUCUACCGAAUCCUAAUAGUAGGGGGUUUAUUUGAAAACAAUAGGUUUUUUACAAGAAUAAAUAUGAAAAGUUGAAUUUUAUCAAAAUAUACCUGCUUAUGACGUCUCAAUAGUCCCACAUCAGAUGGGAAUAGAAUUGUAUUUGGUAUAUAAGAGACUAUAGACAUUAGUAAUAUAAUAAUGGGGCUUAAGUAUUUUGGACUAAUGGUUUAAUUCUAACAGUUAUUAUUACUAGUUGGCCGAAUUAUUAUAAUGCUAUUUGAUCCGAUAUAUUUACAGAGAGCCGUAUACAAUUAACCUAAUACUUUAUAUGGAAGAGUGGGGGAGUGGGAAACCUCAUAAGCGUGCACGCAGCCGACAUAUGUAAUGGGAUUUUGGGGGUGGGAGACGAGUUAGGGAAGUAUCAAUUUAGUGUCCUAUGGUUUCAUUUUUAUUUUUUUAUUAUCGAUUUUAUUAAUUUUUUUUAUUAAAUCAGUGACAAAGUUAAAACUAAAGGACACUAAAUUGAAUAUUCGACAAAUCUAAGUGUUGUAUCUGAAGUUUUUUUGUAUAUAAUUUAAGAAAAUAUUAAUAGAGAAACUGACAAAAAGAUAAAAAUAAAACUAUAUAAUACUAACUCGAUACACUUAAACUAUAAAAUACUAAAAUAAAAAAAAAAUACGAAACUAUGAGGAUGGUAUUUGAACUAUUGAAGUUUAGCCCCUUUUUUUUAUUUUUAUAACUCUAGUGUUUUUGUGUGUGUGGACUGUGGAGUGGAGUUAUGUGUUUCCUAAUUAAGAAUGUGCGCAUGUGAUUGCAAGGAGUAAGUGGUACCCACCUCACCGGCCCAAAUCGCCAAAGAAAUUCUAAAAAUAAAAUAAAAUACAAAAAAAAAUUGUAAAUAUUUGUUUUUUAUUUUUUGGUAAAUUUUAAAUACCACCCUGUUUGGCGUUUUCUCACUUUACUACUCUGUGAUUUAAAGUGUAUUAUUUUAGUACUGUAUAAUUUUUUUUUUUUUUUCGUCAGCGGCUCUCUUAAUUAUCCAUUAAAUCAUACAUAUAAAAAAAAUCAGAUACCCCACAUAUAGUUUAUCGAAUAUUCACUUUAAUAACCAACCGUUCCUAGUGCAAGUGGCAAAAAAUUUGGUGGUUGGUAACCGAGGUCCCAAGUUCGAAUUCUAAUUGAUUCACAUUUCUAGCUAAGUUUAUUUCUAAAUGAAAUAAACAAAGUGAGUAGCAUACUACCUAUCUCUUAAAAUAUAUAUAUAUAUAUAUAUAUAUAUAUAUAUAUAUAUAUAUAUACUUUACAAAAAAAUUAAUAAAGAAAUAACAGAAAGAGAAAAGUACAAAACUGAUGCAAUUUUAAACCACAAGAUAUUAAAGCGAGAAAGCGCAAAACCAUAGGGUGGUAUUUGAUUUUUUUUCUUUAUUUUUUCUUUCCGGUUUUUGAAAUAUCGAUAUUUUAAGCUCUUAAAAAUAUUAGAUAGUAUCUAUAGCCAGAUACUGUUAAAAAUAUUUCAGUUCAACUCACGUAAAUUAUAUAAUGUGAGACCCUAUAUAUAAAAUAUAAUAUGGCUAAACUUUUAAUCCGGCUUAAGCAUUUUGGGUGAUGGCUUAGCUCAAAAGAUUAAAAGAGUUAAGCGUGUUAGGAGGGGAGUAGUUCUAGGAUGGAUGACUCUUUGGGAAGUAGAGGCGUCACGGUUGGUAUCAGAAUUAAUUAUCAACCGAAAGUAUAAGAUGAGUUUCUACUGAACUAGAAUUAUACAGCGAAGAGAGCGAGACUCUCAUACUGUUGACUGUUGUCGGUGAAGAUAAACUAGCGAGACAAGUCUACUGAUAAUAGUUAGUAAAGAUCUUAAACUAAUUAAUCUCAGUUUGAUUUUGGAGACACAAUUUCUAAUGAAGUCCAAUCAUCAAUCACUUGAUUUGGAGUAGUUGCUUUCACGAGAGGGAAUUGCGCCGGGAGGAGGGCACGCAUUCGCCCGUGACAUUAGGCGACAGGAAUUGAUCAUAAUGCACGGGCUCCUCCUUGCAAGUGAAAACAAAGUUACAAAAAUAAAAUAAAAUAAAAUAAAAUAAGAUAAAAAUAGUGGGGAGUUACACAAUAACAUCCCCUUGAAGAAGAAAACAAAUUUGCUAUAUAAUACUUACAUCAUAUCAUCACUAAUAAGUUAACUGUAUAAUGCACGGGCUCGUCCGUGCAAGUGCGCAAAAAAAAGAAAAAAAAAAAAGUGUGGAGUUACACGAUAAGGUUCCGUUGAAGAAGAAGAAGAAGAAGAAGUCUGUUGUAUAAUACUUAUAUCAUAUCAUUAGAAAUAAAUAAGUUAUAUUUUUAUUCUUAAGAAAAAAAGUAUAAUAAAAAUAUAAAAAUUUUCUAUUAAUUAUAAUGAGACGGACGAAUCUAAGAAAAAUAAUUUUAUUAGUUGGAGACGUCAUGUCAGCAAUAUAACUGGUGCAUUCUAAAUUUUUUCCUCAUUGAAAGGUCCUAAUUUAUCAUUAUAUAAUAUUUUUAAAUCUAAUAUUAAAAAAAUAUCUAAUUAAUUAUUGGAUGAAGAUAAAAUUAAUAUGUGUCAGUAGAUCUGAAGUUUUAUUUAUAUGCAAAGGACAGCAUUUGCUCGGACUCAUGUUGGACUUUCAUAACUUAUUUGUUUGCUAGGAAGUAUAUUACAUAUUGAAAAUAAAUUUAAGUUGAUGGUCUAUAUAUUUUACCGAAAGUAAAGUUCAGAUUGAAGUUGAUUUUUAGACGAACGAGAGCUUAUAUAAAAAUUAUUUCAAUUUUUAACCAUUUGUUUGUAUAACUAUACAACUGAAAUUCUUUCGAUUCUGCUAUUUUUUGGGAAAAAAAUUAAUAAUGUAAAAGGUAGAAAUGUGGGAGAUGAACCGAUAUUUUUUUAAUCUUUUCUUCAAAUAUUUUGUUAUUGACCUUAUUAAGUUUAGACCAAAGGCGACGAUACAGUAAAUCAAGCUAGUUUAAUGAAUAUUUAUGGUCAAAAAUUAUUUCAUCCUCUUUACUUUCGCUGAAAUAAAUAUAUUGAACUGAAGUUCAACCAAAAUUUUUUUUUUACUGCUGUUUAUUUGAAAGAAACUCAAUGGCUUGAAAAUUAUAGUCAUUCUAUCUACUUAUUUAUUUUUUAGAAAUUUUCAUAUUAGUAUGUUAGAUAUAAAAAAUUUACCAAUUUUGAACUUUUAGUAAAUUUGAUCAAAAAAAAAUUUUUUUUUUUGAGAGACAAUCAAAAUAUUUUUAUACCUCUUUUCCUCUCCUUUCUCUCUCUCAUGUUUGUUUUUUUUCCACCCUCUUCAUCUCCCUCUUCUGUCGCUUCCUUUUGCUCUUCAACCUCCAUUGUUCUCACGUCAAUUCUGCGUUCUCCUCUCCUAACUGGCUCACACCUUCACCAUGGCGGUGAUGCGAGGCCCAUGGAUCGAAAAGAUGAGACUGCGGCGGAAACCGUGGCCACGAACGAUGAUGGCGAUGAGGGUGCCACAGAAUUUAAGAAUGAUAGAAAAAAAGAGUGCAUCGGGACAAAGACGACUACUACGACAGAAGGAAAAGAGCACAGUAAUAAAAAUAUAUAUAUAAAAAGUGAAAGAAAAAUUUUAAAAAUAAUAAUAAAUUUUUUUUCCUUUAUGGAAAAGCCAUCACGCGCUGCAACCGCCAAAAGUAAGGCCACCAAGUAGAGAAGAAACAAUAAAAAAAAAUUACUCUAUCUGAGACUCUAAUUUUUCUGUUUAAGUAAUACUUACUUUAUACCAUUUAAAAUUAUUUAAAAUUAAAUUAUAUUAUUUUAUGUUUAGAAUACAAGUUUUCAAAUUUGAAGCACCAUAACUGUACAUAUGAUUGGUGGCAUAAUUAAUUCCCCCAUUUCCCUUUAUAAAUACUCCCCACUCGUCUCUCUCCCUCUCCAAUUCAACCACUCUCACUCUAGUACUACUCUCCCCCUCUCUCUCUCUCUUCUCUUCCACACUAAUAAUUAAUGGAGUUACAAACACUCAAAUUUUAUGUACCUCUCUUUCUUUCUCUCUAUGAACUUGUGCUAUUAUUAUAUAUAGCAUAUAGCAUAUGUAUAGCACUUAUUUACUAAUUAUUAUUAUAAAUUUCGUUUCUCAGCUUCUUUCGCUGUGCCUCCUGGCCGCGGUCGCGCUCGUCCUCCCCGAAUGCGCGGCGGCCCGCAGAUCGAGAGCCGGGGGGGAGCGGCAGGCGGCAGUGGCGGUGGCGGUGAAGGGGCUGAGGUACGCGUCGGCGACGAGCUGCAGGGCGCACUCGGCGGCGGUGACGGAGUUCGGGGCGGUGGGGGACGGGGCGACGUCGAACACGGCGGCGUUCCGGGCGGCGGUGGGGAACCUGAGCCAGUACUCGGCGGCCGGGCGGGGAGGGGGCAUGCUGUACGUGCCGGCCGGACGGUGGCUGACGGGCCCGUUCAACCUCACCAGCUCCUUCACCCUCUUCCUCCACCGCGACGCCGUCAUCCUCGCCUCCCAGGUUGUCCAACUCUGCAGUAUCGUAACCGACUAACCGCAAUAUUACUUACGAAAACAAACAGGAUAUUUUUCUAUUGUCGUUUCUCAACGCACGUUAAACAAUUUCCCUGCAAUCACAAACAAAGCCUUAAGUACUAUCUAACUAACGCCAUUAUAAUAAUAAUAAUAAUAAUAAUAAUAAUAAUAAAUGCGUAGAGUUACUACAUGUACUACCGGAAGGACAGAGAAUUUGAUAUUUUCGAUUUUUUGGUUCUUGAAUCAAGAAUUAUACGAUUAGAAUAAUUGCGGUUCUUCUAGGAUUGAAUAGUAUCCUAAGGACUGAGUGGUCCUUACAGGAUAAUAAUAUUAAUUCAAAUAUUAGAAAUGAUUAAAGGGGCUGAUGGCCAAUAAGUCAGAAGUAUCAGAUUCUCUAUGCUUUCGAUAACAUAGUCAUUCUACUCAAAAUAAAUUAAAUAUAAAUUUUUUUUUGUAAAUAUUUAUUUUUUUUUAUAUUUUUGACUUUUAAAAUUAUAUAGUUUAUUUCUUCCAAAUUCUACCUCAGAAUUCUUCUUUCACUAUUUUGCCUAUUCUUUAUAAUUUAUACUAAAAAUAUUCUUAAAAAUAAUAAAAAAAUAUAUUAAAAUAUAUAUAUAUAUAUUGUAGAACAAGUAAUGGUAGUAUGGUCAUUUCGCUAUCUCCAUUAAUACCGUAAUUUUCUAAAAAUAUUUNAUAUAAGAUCUAGUUAUUAUUUGCUAGUUGAUCGGAUCGUUACAGAAUUCAAAUCUUAAGCUUGUGUUUGGUUCGGGAUUAAGGGGUGGGAUAACCCCUUAACCCCGGUUUUAUUCCCAAACAUAAUUUUAGGGGGGCGGGGUUAGCUAAUCCCAUCCUAAAUGGGCUAAUCCGGGAUAGCCCAUUUGGAGUGGGGUUAGCUAACCUCAGCUAACCCCACCCCACUACUCCAACCAAAUAAAAUAUUAUUUUACCCACUAUCCUUCUUAUCCCAUCUAUUCCAACCAAACAUUAUUUUUUUUUAAUCCUAAACUAACUCCAAUUCUUAACCAAACACAAAAAUAUUUUAACCCCACCUUAACCUGGACUUAAACCCUAUCAUUAGAAUAACUAGUUUUUUCUUGAUUCCGAACCAAACGGUAGCUAAGGAAUUUGUAAUUUUUAGAAUAAUAACAAACUAAGGCUUUUUUUUUUUUUUAAAUCAACAGUGAAUAGUGAAAGGUUGCAAGAAAGAGUCACAUGAUUAGUUUUUGAUCAGGAAGUGACUUCAUGUGGACAGAUACCUGACAGGUUUUCAUUUCUGCAGAAACUGUUGCUUUUUUGUUUGUCCUUUUCAUUUAGCUUGUAGGCUUUCCNAAGUAAUGGUAGUAUGGUCAUUUCGCUAUCUCCAUUAAUACCGUAAUUUUCUAAAAAUACUUUAAAAUUUUAAAUUACGUAAAAUAUUUUUUAAAAUAAGAAGAAAAAUUAAAAAUGAAUAUUUAUACAAUUUUUUUGUAUUUUAACCUCAAUAAAAGUUUUUUUUAUAUACCACUCACCCUCUAUUCAAAAUUUUUUAAAUUUAUCUCUUUAAUUAGUUCCAAAAUACAGCAUCAUUAACCAUUGAAGUAUAAAAAUAGAUACUUUUUUUCUUUUAGAGAAAGAUAGCAUACUAUCCGUUUCGUUUAUUUCGUUUCAGAAAUAAACUUAGCUGGAAAUAUAAAACAACUAAUAAGGCUUCGAACCUGAAACCUUAGGUAUCAACUAUCAAACUCUUUGCUACUUGUUUUAGGAACGGUCCGAUAAAAAAACCGAAUAGCAUACUGCCUUACUCUCAAAAAAAUAAAUAAAUAAAUAAAUAAAUAAAAAUAAAAAAGAAAAGAGAUACUUUUGACAACACACUUUUAUGCUAUGCUAUGCUUUUCCUUGUUACUCUCCAAAACCUAUUAGGGGACCCCAAAAUUUGGCUUUUUUUUUUUAAUGUUUUGUUAAAAGCGAGUUUCAAUUUUGUAAUAUUUCGCUGAGUCUACAACAUAAACUUAAAAAAAAAAAAAAUUGAGAGAAAAUUAAAUAAUGAGAUUAUGCUUCUAAAAAAAGGUUUUUGUUUUUUUGUUUUAUAUUUUAUACUCAAUACCCUGCUUUGCACUGUUUUACGUAAUUAGUAUUUAUUUGCUACAAUCAUUUUUGGGUUGAUUGUUAAUUAUUUCUUGAAAAAAAUUCUCUUCACUUAUGUAAUUCGAUUCUAUUUAGAAUUUUUUUUAUUAUAUUAUAUACUUUGUGAAUUAAGCCCCUCAUAUUUAUUUAUGGCUAAAUACUCUUCUUUUUUUCUUUUUUUUUACUUUCUCCUUUUGACUCUCAAAAUCUAUAUUUUAUUUUUUUAAAUUUUAAGUUAAUGCAUUUAGCUUUCCUCGUCUGUCUAGAUUUCGACUCUAUUAUUUAUAUUUUUUGUAAUUUAUAUCAAAAAUACUCUUCACGGUAAUAAAAAUAUAUUAAAAAUUAUUUUUUUAUAAAAUAAGAAUAAUUCGGUUAUUUUGGUUUCUCCAUUAAUGUUGUAAUUGCCUCUAAAAAUUAGAAAAAAAAAUAAAUUGAAAGAUUUUCUAUAUUUUUAGUUUUUAUUUAUUUAUUUAUUUUUAAAGUUGUUUCUAUAUGCACUUUACUUUGAGAAAUCAUCCUAAAAAUUAGGGGAUUGAAAUUUUUGUUUCUUUUAAACUAUAUAAGAUCUAGUUAUUAUUUGCUAGUUGAUCGGAUCGUUACAGAAUUCAAAUCUUAAGCUUGUGUUUGGUUCGGGGUUAAGGGGUGGGAUAACCCCUUAAUCCCGAUUUUAUUCUCAAACAUGAUUUUAGGGGGGUGGGGUUAGCUAACUCCACCCUAAAUGGGCUAAUCCGGGAUAGCCCAUUUGGAAUGGGGUUAGCUAACCCCAGCUAACCCCAUCCCACCCCACUACUCCAACCAAACAAAAUAUUAUUUUACCCACUAUUCUUCUUAUCCCAUCUACUCCAACCAAACACUAUUUUCUUUAAUCCUAAACUAACUCCAAUUCUUAACCAAACACAAAAAUACUCUAAUCCCACCUUAAUCCUGAAUUUAAUUCUAUUCUUGGAAUAACUAAUUUUUUCUUAAUCCUGAACCAAAUGGUAGCUAAGGAAUUUGUAAUUUUUAGAGUAAUAACAAACUAGGGGUUUAUUUUUUUUAAAAAAAUCAACAGUGAAUAGUGAAAGGUUGCAAGAAAGAGUCACAUGAUUAGUUUUUGAUCAGGAAGUGACUUUAUGUGGACACAUACCUGACAGGUUUUCAUUUCUGCAGAAACUGUUGCUUUUUUAUUUGUCCUUUUCAUUUAGCUUGUAGGCUUUCCCAACCUCCCUACAACCACCCUUGAAUCCCAUCCUAUAAGAACAAUAAUGCAGCUCAGUGCGUAAAAUUUUUUACUAUUUAAAAAUUUAGAUCGACGAAGUCAGUCGGACUGGCCAGAUGGUGGCUCAGUACUCAAAACCGUUUCACUUUAAAAAAAUCCAUUUUGAUUCGUUCUAACCAGCGAUCUGACCAGUGAACUAGCUCGAGUUUACAAGAAUCGAUCGAAUUUUCUCAUUAAGUAUUUUAAUAAUUCAAUUAUAUUGUUUUCUAAUUUGUCCUUUUCAUGUAGCUUCUAGGCUUUCCAAACCUCUCUACAACCACCCUAGAAUCCAUCCUUAAAGAAUGAGAAUAUAAUUCGGUGCAUAGAAUUUUUUAAUAUUUUAAAAUUCGAAUUCUCAACCAAUCGGAUCGGUCGAACGGUGAUUUAGUACUCAAACCAUUUCACUUCAAACUCAUAAAAUCGACCAAUGAACUGGCCCGAUUCUGCGAGAAUCGACCGAAUUUCUUUUUAUUAAAUAUUUCAAUAAUUAACUAAAAAUAUGCAUUAGUUCUUUUUAAUAAUGUAUACUUUGGAUAUAUCUUUAAUUAUAUAUAAUAUUUAGAAAUAAUAUAGAAUAGUGUACUUGGAAUUUUUUUUCUAUUAUUAUAUAUUAGUAUAAGAAGAUAAUAAUUAGUAUUUAUGGUGGUUUGUUAACAUAUUCAACCCAAUGGUUGAAUCACUGAUUGAACCAGUGACGCAUGAUCCGGUAAUAUUUUCGAAUCGUAAACAGUUCCAAAGUUUAAAACAUUGAAAAUUUCUAUAGAUGAAAAUAAUUCAGAUGCUGACGCGCGGUGAGAUGUAUUUUCAUAUGUCCAAUGUUCGUUCAUUCACUUUUCUUCUUAAUUUUCAAAAAUCUACAUUUUACUUCUCAGCAUUUCGAGUUAUCGCAUUCAGCCCCCCUCUGUCAGGAUUACAUCACUAUUCCAUCCAUUUUUUAUAAUUUAUACCGAAAACAUCUUACAAAAUGACAGAAAAAUAUAUUAAUUAUAGAAAAAGUAAAGACAAUUUGGUCAUUUUGCCAUUUCCAUUAACGUCGUACCUCUCUGAAACCAUUUCUGAAAUUUUAAGAGGGGCAAAUGUAGAUUUUUAAAAGUCAGAAAGAAAAAGUAAAUUUACGGGUAUUUACACGGGAGGUUUUUUUUUCGUAUUUUAGCCUUUUUUUAUGACUACUAUUAUGAAAUUUGAGCCUCUAAAACUAGAAUCUCUAAUUUCCAAACCCUACCCAAAUAAAUUGUGGAGUCCAGUUGUAGAGUGAAUCAGAUACUGUUACUAACAGAGAUUAAUUAAUUCUUUUUUUAAAAAGAAAAAAAAAACAGAGAUUAAUUAAUGAAUUUGUGCAGGAUAUAAAUGAAUGGCCUAUUAUUGAUCCUUUGCCAUCUUAUGGAAGAGGGAGAGACAAACCUGGUGGAAGAUACAGCAGCCUCAUUGGUGGAUCAAACCUCACAGAUGUUAUCAUAACAGGUGCGUGUAAUGUGUUAAGAUUCAUGUGUGUGAACAUUGUUGAUGUUAUAGAUAUGAUUGGUAAAGAUAAAAAUUCGUCAUGUCGUAAACUUCAAACGAGUUCGAAUUCGAUUCCUUUCGAUUGAUUCCUGCGAUUAUUUGCUGUCGCGUUCUGACAUGGAAGUUCAAUCAAGCUCGCAACAGAGCCCGUCGUACGAACUGAGUUUUCCCUGUACGUGCAAGACUCUUCAUUUGCUGCUCAAAAUCUCUGUCUCAAUUCGAAACUACCGAUUUCGGAGGGAAAAUGCACCUAACUAACUGUAUGUAAUCAUGUUUGCUGAACUUAAGCUUUUGCUGAACAUUUGUUUUCAGGUGAUAAUGGAACAAUUGACGGGCAAGGGGCGACCUGGUGGCAAAAAUUCCACAAGAAUCAGCUCAAAUACACGCGCGGAUACCUCAUCGAACUGAUGCAUUCGGAUCAGAUCAUCAUAUCCAACCUCACAUUGCUCAACUCUCCUGCAUGGAACAUUCACCCAGUUUACAGCAGGUACAUGUUCUUGCAGAAUUUGAGCAUCUACUGCAGCAGAAACCAUGCUGCUCUGACUCUGACAGAUUCGGCGGUAAAAAUUGCAGCAACAUUAUCGUGUCGGGGAUCACAAUUCUCGCUCCGGUUCAUUCUCCGAACACCGACGGUAUUAACCCAGGUACUUGCUCAGUUGUUCUGAAACCUUAAAUCGGAGCCGAUUUGAAGAUACAGAUAUCUUGCUCGACAGAUCUCUUUGGUUAACUUGAAACCUCUACCUUUUCGUAGAUUCGUGCUCGCACGUCAGAAUCGAGGACUGCUACAUCGUAUCGGGCGACGACUGCGUCGCGAUCAAGAGCGGGUGGGACGAGUACGGGAUCGCCUACGGGAUGCCGAGCCAGCACAUCGUCAUCCGGCGACUCACCUGCGUCUCUCCGACCAGCGCCGUCAUCGCCCUCGGCAGCGAGAUGUCGGGCGGAAUCCAGGACGUCCGCGCGGAGGACAUCACCGCCGUCAACUCCGAGUCCGGGGUCCGCAUCAAGACCGCCCCCGGCCGCGGCGCCUACGUGAAGGACGUCUUCGUCCGCGGCAUGAGCCUCGACACCAUGAAGUGGGUCUUCUGGAUGACCGGCAACUACAAGUCGCACCCCGACGGCAACUACAACCCGAACGCGAUGCCGGUCGUGAACGGCGUCAGCUACAGCAACGUCGUCGCGACCGGCGUGACGACGGCCGCGCGGCUCGAGGGGAUACCGGGCGCGCCGUUCACCGGAAUUUGCAUAUCGAACGUCACGGUGGAGCUGGCGAAGUCGCGGAAGGUGUCGUGGACCUGCACCGACGUCGAAGGGGUGUCGGCCGACGUGAGCCCCGCGCCGUGCGCUCCGCUGCAGGGCGCGCACGACGGCCAGUGCCCGUUCCCGGCCGACCGGUUGCCGAUCGACGAGAUCGAGUUCAAGGAGUGUUCCUACUGAAAGAUCACACUCUCAUCAAUGUACAAUAAUGUUGCUUGUACAAGUGCAGGAGCUAAGAUAUGCUCUGACACUGCAAAAGGUUUGAUUGAAUACAUAUUACAUGACUAAGUUUGUUGCUGUUUCUGUUUUCUCUGUUUACUGAAUUGCUUGUUUUUGUGCUAUGGAAAAUACUCUAUAAUAAAUUUGUAAAUUCUUGAUUGUAGAGGCUGGUGGAUCGUAAGCGCUAAUUAACUGUUUCAAAAACACGUACUGAUAGAAAGGUGUAUCCAUCACACUUAAGGGCUCAAUUAUAGUGCUGACGGAUUUCGAUAUGGCUCAACCCAUCUAGACGUUAGGUCUAUUGUUAAGCCUCUGAUCGUUAGGUCUCUUUCAGACCGCAACCCCACCGAACUUAUAAGGCUCACCCAACUCAAUUUAUUAGUCUUCUGGGCUUAUUGUUACGGAGCAAAAAAAUUAGACAUACUUUAGCCCAAUAACAAAUAACCAAGAGUGGUGUAUAAGAUCAGAUUUUAGUUUUUAAUUAUGAAAGAAGCUGCGGGAUAGUAAUAACUGAAACUGUCAGGGGUAAUUUUGCAAGAUAGCUACAGAUUAAUAAUUUCGAGUGAAAAAAGAGAAAUUGCUGAACACAACAUUGUGUAACAAAGAGAAACCUAAAAUUAGGAGUUUUCUUGCAAAUAGCCCCCUGAGCAAUUUUUAUUUUAAAAAUAGCCCUAUCAAAUUAAAAUUGCAAAAUGGCCCUGUUCUUGCCACGCAGGCGCCACGUCAGCACCACGCGGGCAGAGCUGGGGCCAGGGUAUUAAGUUGAAUACGGUGAAUCAUUCACAGUGUCUAAACACGGUGAAUGGUUCACCGUGUUUCUUACGUAUUUUUUAUAUAUUGAAAAGUGGAAUAAGGAAUAGGGAUGUCAAUAGGUAUGGAUACCCGAAAUAUUAUCCGAAUCCAAACCCGAAUAAAUUAUAUAUAUAUACGUAAUUUAUUUUUAUUUAUUUAUACAAUAUAUAAAAUAUUUAAUAAUUUUUAUUCCUUAGAUCUUUAUCCAACGGUAUAGAUUUUUAAAAUCCGCUGGAUUGGAUGAAGAUCUAAGCAAUAAAAAUUAUUAAAUAUUUAAUAUAUUAUAUAAAUAAACAAAAAUAAAUUACGUGUAUAUAUAUAUAUAUAUAUAUAUAUAUAAUUUAUUCGGGUUUGAGUUCUCAACAAAAAUAAUAGUUCAGGGGCAAUAUCAGAAUUAGCUAUAAAUGAGUUAUGAGCGGUCUCCAUACAUUUUCCCAAAAAAAAUAUUAAACAAAAAUUUCAGGUCCUCAUUCACAAAAUACAUUAUAUUUGAGGGGCCUCCACCCAAUUUUCCACCAAACGUAACGAAACGAAACUUUUUAAAAAAUAUUAAAUAUAUAUAUAUAAAUAAAUAUAUAAAAUUAUAAAAAAAAAGGGAAAAUGUCGGCCAUGGCGAUCGCAAACCAUAUCCCCUCCUCCUUGCCCUCUCUGCGAUCCCUCCAUCGCCCUCUCCCCCUCUUCUCCUCUCCCCAAACCCUAACCCUAACCCUAACCCUAGUCCCCUUAAGCGGUAGUACUAGUAGUGGUAGUAGUAGUCGUGGGUGGCGGCGGAGGCGGGGGAGGGAGAGCGGGGAAACGCUAGUGGGGUCGUCGGAGCCGUGGUCGGAAGCGAGGCGGAGGCGACGGGGAAGGAGGUGGGAAACCCUAGCGGCGGCGUCGUCGUCGUCGUCGUCUCCGGCGGAGGAGCUCUCGGCGGCGGAGGAGGAGUGGCUGAGGAAGCUCCCGGACAAGAAGAAGCCGCUGUACUCGCACAGCCUCCCGUGCAUCGAGGCGUGGCUGCGGCACCUAGGGUUCCGGCGGAGCCGCGACGACCGCGCCGUGUGGCUCGCCGAGAACCCCCUCUGGCACGCCCAGCUCUCCCUCGACGUCACCGAUCUAUACAUCAGGUCCCCAUCCUUCCUCUUCUCCUCCAAAUCCUUAUGUGCUUGAAUUCGAAACCCUAAUCAUUCAUACAUGCCUCAGCUGUUCUUGUGCUAAAUAUUUAGUUCAAUUCACCGUAAACUGAAUCAACGAAUUUCACGUUUACGAUUGCGUCCACGAAGCCGAGAAGUAGUAAAAGAAAGAAUUCGCCUGUAAUGACUAUUUUGAUGCACAUAUCAAGUGAUGUGAAUCAGCCACAAAUAAGAUUUUAGACCGUAAAUCACUUGCACUGAAUGUACAUGACCUAGAUGAGUUUUCGCAUCAGACAUGCUUUUACUUUUCCCAGGCUCGGUAUUGAACUUGGCAUUCUACAACAAUUCAGUAGUGGUGCCAGUAGUUUGAAAUUCUAUCCAAUCUAUUUAGUGUUUGUUCGGCACUAGUUAUCAUUUCUAGUAGAGCGUUUGGUAGACGAAAAGGUCUAGUGCUUCUGUUUCAUGUUAAAUAAUAUGAAACAACCGUUAUUUUCUAAAAACUUAAACCGGUAAAGAACGGUGUUUAAAUAACCACCCNCAUAUUACAUGACUAAGUUUGUUGCUGUUUCUGUUUUCUCUGUUUACUGAAUUGCUUGUUUUUGUGCUAUGGAAAAUACUCUAUAAUAAAUUUGUAAAUUCUUGAUUGUAGAGGCUGGUGGAUCGUAAGCGCUAAUUAACUGUUUCAAAAACACGUACUAAUUGGAAGGACGCAUCCAUCGCACUUAAGGACUCAAUCAUAGCGCUCACGAAUUUCGACCUAACUCAAUUCAUCUGAACGUUAGGUCUAUUCUUAGGCCUCUUGUCGUUAGGUCUCUUUCAGACCGCAGCCCCACUGAACUUAUAAGGCUCACCCAACUUAAUUUAUUAGUCUUCUGGGCUUAUUAUUACGGAGCAAAAAAAUUAGACAUACUUUAGCCCAAUAACAAAUAACCAAGAGAGGUGUAUAAGUUCAGAUUUUAGUUUUUAAUUAUGAGAGAAGCUGCGGAAUAGUAAUAACUGAAACUGUCAGGGGUAAUUUUGCAAGAUAGCCACAGAUUAAUAAUUUCGAGUGAAAAAAGAGAAAUUGCUGAACACAACAUUGUGUAACAAAGAGAAACCUAAAAUUAACAUACUUAGGAUUGCAAUUUUACAGCUUAGUCCAUCUAAAGACUAUAAUUGACACACUAGUCUUAUCAAUUUUUUAAAAAAUUGAAAAACAAACAGUGUUGUUUAAACUCUAUUUCAAUCUUUGUGUGCUUAGCACUUAACCAUCUUAUAGAAUUUGUAAAUAAAAUAAUAAGAAAUCCUUAAAUUAUUAUUUCAAAUACUAACUAUUUGUAUAGUGAGAAUAACAAUAAUUCCCUAGCGGGAACUUAUCUCAAAAUAGUCAACGGUUGAGGGGUCUCCAUUCAUUACAAAAAAUUCAAAAUUAUAAUUUCAAAUAAAACUUUUUUGGUGGUUUGAAAUUAUAUAGAGACUCUCUGAACAACUCGAUAGACACUGGCUUAAUUUUUAUUUUUUUAUUUGAAUUUUUCUGGUAAAUAAGUGAAAAGGAAAAUCUAGUUAAUUUGCUACUAAGUAGUUUAAACUAAAAAAUUUCAUGAUAUUAUUGAUUUAUUUAGCAAAAAUCACUAAAUUCCAAAAAUUUAAAAGUUAAGGGAGUUCUCAACGAAAAUAAUAGUUCAGGGGCCAUUUCAGAAUUAGCUAUAAAUGAGUUAUGAGCGGUGUCCAUGCAUUUUCCCAAAAAAAAUAUUAAACAAAAAUUUCAGGUCCUAAUCGCAAAAUACAUUAUAUUUGAGGGGCCUCCACCCAAUUUUCCACCAAACGUAACGAAACGAAACUUUUUAAAAAAUAUUUUAUAUAUAUAUAUAUAUAUAUAUAUAUAUAUAUAUAUAUAUAUAUAUAUAUAUAUAUAUAUANGCGGCUCUCGAGGAGGCGGCCUCUGCUGCUGCUGCUGCUGCGGCGGCGAUCCCAAAGGGUGGAGGAAGGGGCAGCGGAGGCGGAGCGAAGGCUGGUGCCGAGGCUGCUGGGGUGAUCCCAAAGGGGCGAGAGGGAGGGGGCGGAGGCGGCGGUGGGUGCUGAUGAUGAUGGUGAUGAUCCUGAUGGCGAAUUCCCCUGAUCCCAAUCCCAAUCCCAAGCGGAGGAGGAGUGGCUGAGGAAGCUCCCGGACAAGAAGAAGCCGCUGUACUCGCACAGCCUCCCGUGCAUCGAGGCGUGGCUGCGGCACCUAGGGUUCCGGCGGAGCCGCGACGACCGCGCCGUGUGGCUCGCCGAGAACCCCCUCUGGCACGCCCAGCUCUCCCUCGACGUCACCGAUCUCUACAUCAGGUCCCCAUCGUUCCUCUUCUCCUCCAAAUCCUUAUGUGCUUGAAUUCGAAACCCUAAUCAUUCAUACAUGCCUCAGCUGUUCUUGUGCUAAAUAUUUAGUUCAAUUCACCGUAAACUGAAUCAACGAAUUUCACAUUUACGAUUGCGUCCACGAAGCCGAGAAGUAGUAAAUGAAAGAAUUCGCCUGUAAUGACUAUUUUGAUGCGCAUAUCAAGUGAUGUGAAUCAGCCACAAAUAAGAAUUUAGACCGAAAAUCACUUGCACCGAAUGUACAUGACCUAGAUGAGUUUUCGCAUCAGACAUGCUUUUACUUUUCCCAGGCUCGGUGUUGAACUUGGCAUUCUACAACAAUUCAGUAGUGGUGCCAGUAGUUUGAAAUUCUAUCCAAUCUAUUUAGUGUUUGUUCGGCACUAGUUAUCGUUUCUAGUAGAGCGUUUGGUAGACGAAAAGGUCUAGUGCUUCUGCUUCAUGUUAAAUAAUAUGAAACAACCGUUAUUUUCUAAAAACUUCCCCGUCUAGGUGACAUGGAUUUGAAUUAAAUGGAAGAAAAUUAAUAAUGCUAGAAGUCUGGUGUGACUUAAACUCAGGACCUUCUUCUCUGUUGCAUGUUAAAUAAUGUGAAACGGCUGUUAUUCUCUAAAAGCUUAAGCUGGUAGAGAAUGAUGUUUAAAUAUUUUUGUAUUUAACACUGCAAUGGGAAUGGUGUUUUUAGAAACUCCAUUUCGUGUGAACUGAAAUCUCCAUCGAACCGAACUCCAUUCAAGCUGCUUGCAUUCUUAUCGGUUUGCAUCUUUAGCAAAUUCGAGUCCCUGGGAAACUACGAAAUUUAUGUGAACUAUUUGCCCAUAAGGGAAUUACGUGAUUGGAUUUUGUGUUCUUGUAGAUACAGAGUACAAACCUUAAGUAGAACUUACUUUCAUGUUGGCUGGAUAUAGAAUAACGUGAAAUCGCAGCUCGAAUAAGCGGAUGGCGAAUCGAGUAUUAGCAUCUGAAAUGCACCGCCAAUCCCCCUACCUGCAACCUGUUUGGUAACACCCAAGUUGCUUGAAUGGAUGUCGUUCCAUCACUCUUUUUACCGAUUGACGAUUUAAGAUCUGAAUUUCUGCAGUUUUAGUUUUCCAAACAUAACAAAUUUAUUAUUCCAAGGUACACCCUUUGUAACGGCGAAGACAUCUGGGUAUUGUUAAGACUAUUCAUGGGCUGCUUCUUAAGGGAUAGAUUUAGAGUGCAUUCUAAGCUCUCUUAGUUUCCCACGCAUGUAACUACGUGAAUUCGGGUGCUAAAACUAUUACUGUGGUCUCAAUUAACAAGCAUGAUCGAUAUUCAAAUGAGUGGAACAAUGCUGUUGAAUGCUGUUGCUGAGUCUGUUGCUGACACCGCAGCCUAUGUGUAACGACUCGCCCGUUAGCAAUAAUAACUCGUUAGACCCAAACCACCGUCCCAAAAUACUUAAGCUCAGUUAACUAUCCGAUGUGGGAUUAUUCGGGUGUCACACAUAGUCCAAGAUCAUUAAGCAAUGUGAGACUUGUCUCGCUAGCCUUGUCAUUCUGAUCCUGACUUAACCUGUUAUUUUCCGACCGUGACUAAGCCAAGAUUCAUCUCACACUUCCGGCUGGUGAACCGGCUUCGAUACCAAAUGUAACGAUCCGACGCUAGCAAUAAUAACUCGUUGGGCCCAAACCACCGGUCAAAAAUGUUUAAGUCUAGUUAUUAUAUCUAGCCUAAUCAAGCUUAUAUACCUCCACAUCUAACCAUAAUUAUUCGAUGUGGGAUUAUUGGGAUGUCACACUGUAACUAUGCUGACAAACUCUCAGGUACCUGAAGAGUGGACCUGGAAAUCUGGAGAAAGAUGUGGAGAGAAGGUUCAGCUAUGCAUUGAGCAGAGAGGACAUCGAAAACGCCAUACUCGGAGGGCCGUGAUUUUGGCGACAGAUUAAGCAACGAGUUUAAUUGGUUUAAUCUGUAUCUUGAAGAUUUAAAUCUUGAAGAUAUAAAUAGGAAACUUCUUCUCUUUUUCGUUUUGUCUAUUCCAAUCCAGAAGUGUUUCAUGUGUAAAUUUGUUCCAUGUUGAUGUAAAGUGUUCUCAAUUAGGGAAGGGACUCAUUUUGUAUGACAGAAAUGCUUAAGUAAAAGUGCAAAAUGUAUGGGUAGUCCCUGUACUAUUUUGAUUUUGCGACUCGGUCUCUGUACUCUUUGUUUAAACACUUUAUUCAGCAAACUUUCAUAUAUUAUUGUACUUUGGUCCCUCGACUUUCAAAUCCUAUUUAAAGUAAAUAAAAAUAGUUUACAAACAAAAAGUUAAUGAAAAUAAAAACUGGAUUGGUUUCAUAACUAGUGCAAUAAGAGUGAAAAGGUACAAAAUCUGAGAUAUGAUGCUGGGAUUGGACUCUAAUUUGUGAACUUGAAUAGCACAAAAUGGAAUUAAACAAAGGAAGAACUAAGUUAUUAAAUUUAAUUUAAUUUUUAACUUGGUUAAACUAACUAUAAGAACUCAAUUUAAAAAAAUAAAAAGUUUGAGGGGUUAAAAAAAUAAGAUAUCUAUGUCAAAAAAAGGCCAUAGUUGAGGUAUUAUCUCUUGGCUUAUGUACCCUACAAAUGUAGCUUUUUUUCAAAUUUAGCCCUCCUCAAAAAAGAGUUUUAUAAAUAAUUCUAACAAAUUUAUAUUUGCAACAUAUGACCCUCUUCUUACCACAUGGACGCCACAUUUGUUUUUGUAAGUUAAAUAUACAAAUGUAAGUUAAAUACGGUGAUUUAUUCACCGUAUUCAUAUCUACAUUUUAGUCCCUCUUUUUUAACUUUAGGGACGAAAAGAUACAGAAAGAAACACGGUGUGAUUCAGUUAUCAUAUUCAACUUAAAAAUGCUAUCUAAAGAUUCUAAACGCUCACGUAGUAAGAAAAGAGCUAUGUAUGCAAAUAUAAAUUUAUUAUGAUUAUUUGUAUUUUUUUUUUUUUUGAGAAGGCUAAAUGCAAAACAAGCCCCUACAAAUAUUUUACAAAAAACGGUAGUUGAUUUACCUUUGUUCAAAUACAAAUGGUAAAUAAUUUACCGUGUUCAUUAGUCGACAUCUAUUGGCCAACAUGGUGCCCACAUGAAUAAUAUAGAAUUAUUUCUGUAUUUGAAUUUUUUUUAUGGAUUUAUUUUUGUAAUUAAAAUUUUUGAGGGGGUUAACUGCAACCAAAUACUUUGGAGUGCGGAAGUGUCACGAACAACUCAAAAAUUUUCUAAGAAUAAAUAUAGAAAGAAAUCUAAGAAUCACUUUGGUGCUUUAAAAUUCUCUAGAUAGAAGUCAAAAUUCUGCAUCUUUAUUCGCACUCAAGAGGCCUAUAAAUAGGAAGUCUGAGACUAACCAAAAACUCAGGAACAUUGUAAUCCUUUUUUUUCAGCAAUACAAUUUCAAAUACACCAAAAAGCAUCUCUUAGAAGGCAAAUAGAUCCGAACUAGGGAUGCAAACGGAUCCGGGUUGGUGGAGCUUCUAUUUCGAUCCGUCCCAAUUGGGGCAGUAAAUGAAAAGAAAUAAACUGAUUCAAGGCAGAAAGCGAAGUAAUUUAUGAUCCGAGAUGGGUUUGAAAUAGGAAGCGAAAAAAAUUUUGACCUGCGAAUCUGCCUCGCCGUGAUUUGCCCUGAACCCGCCCCGAAUCCGUUCCGAAAAUCAUUUAUAUUUUUAAAAAAAAUAUCUCUAAAAAAUAAUAUAUUUACAAAAAAUUUAAAAUACGAAUAAGUCGAUACUCUCAUUUCUCAUAUAUUUGAAACUUUUAAAUUUUAUUUCAAAUUGUGAUUGAUAUUUUUUAUUUUUAUAAUUGAUAUUAUUAAUUUUAUGUGUAACAUAAUAAUAUUAUUAUUCAUUAUUAUUAAAAAAAAUCAUUAAUUUAUAUUUUACAAAAUAUUAAUAAUAUUAUAAUUUUUAAAGAAAAUAUUAAAUUAAUAUUUUGUAAUAUUAAUUUACAACCACCUACAUAGUCAAUAGAGUGGUUGUUUUGUCAACUUCUUAUCACAAAUAUGAUGUUACUUGGCAUAAAAUAGAUAUUGAAAAUGCAACCCCAGAUGGAUAGAGUGGUUGGGUUAGGGGACGUUUGGUUUUCCCAAAAAUAUUUCAAACUUUUUGUUCCAUCCAUUUAAUUUUAAAGAAAAUAGUUUUUGUAAGCAUUUAUUUUCCCAGAUUUCAUAAUAAAAAAGUGUUAUUAUCCCCUAAAUUUUUUACUUAGAAAAUAAAAAAAAUUGUAGAAAAACGUGUUUUUUAUGAUUUUUUUUGAAAAUAUUUUUUUACGCUUUUUCAACGAACCAAACACUGAACAUGAUUAAUUCCAACCGAGAUAUGAAUAAUCCAACUAAAACCAAAGGCAAAAACAGAUGAAAAGGAUGUAUUUCACAAGCCAAAGCUAAAAAAAUUAGUGGAGAACAAAACAAGAGUCUUAAGUGAAAUACUAGAAACUUUGGCAAAGGCAAAGCUACAGCCAAGAGACUCAGUGUCAUGCUUAAACAAUAUCUUAUAACAAGAAUAAAGCUAGAAUACUUUUAAAAAUAAAUUAGAGGUUUACUUCCACAUUAUUUCCAGCCGUAGAACAUCCGAAUCAACAACCGGCACCAUCAAAUAUGAUGUAGACUAUUUGAACAUUCUAAAGACCAAAUUUCGUACAUUUUUUUGAUAUCAUUUACCUAAUAAUCAAAUAGCCUCAAAUUCACUCCACGUUUAGUCAUUAGAAACUAUCAAUUUCAAGACCAUCUAUACACUAGAUAAAUGAUGUCGUAAAAUCGUAAAUUUGGAACCUAAAAAGUUCAAAUAAUACAGAUCAAAUUAAACAACGUCAAUCAUCGAUUUGAAUGCCCCGUCACCAAAAAAAAAAGAAAAAAGAAAAAAGAAAAAGAUGCAGAAGUAAACAAUCCGUAUAACAAUGUAUUUAUCUUUCUCACAGUAGAUUCAUGCUAUUUCAAUCUAGAGGUUGGUUGCAGAUGUAGCAACCAGCAAGUGCCUACAUAAUAAUACCUUAGAACCAAUUUAAUUAUGUUUCUUACAGCAAACCCCAUAGGACAACAAGUUACCAAAGAUCUACACUGUGAUACCUGAGAAAUCAAUCAGCAAAACUAUGCUGGAAAUAAAGCUAUCCUUCUAAUGAAGCAUUGACACAAACUGCUACUCUGUUAACCAAUCCAUGCAAAGUCACGAAUGAUGUAAAUGCAAUGUUCCAGGACAUUACCUAAAGGCUAUUCAUGACCAAGUGUUCCAAUUCAACAUUUAUUCAAGUCAUGAAGAAACUAAAAGCAUCAAUAUCAGGAAGAAACACGACAAAUCACAUUUAUCGAAUCAUAGCUCAAUCCACCGGGCAAAAGAUAUUACUAUACGAGCAAGAUGUCCACCGGGUUCAUGUCGUUUUCAUCAAAGAAUGCAAGUUCAUGCCGACUAAACUUGGGCUCCCGAAUCGUGCAGAAAAUAUGCAUGUCCACCACCAGUUUUAAGGAACGAAAAAGAAAAGGGAUACUUCACAUUCUACUAGCUAAUGUGAAUAAAUAAUCAACUAGAAUCUGAAAAGGAGAUUUGAAUUGGAUAGAAUUAUAUAUUACUCGCAAUUAUUAUGUUUGUUAGUAUAUGAUAGCUAGAUCAGGCAUAAUAUGCACAUUGUAUAUUCAACACAAAUCGUAAUAAUUAUUUAUAUAGCUAGAAAUUAGUAUGCAUGUUUACCAUUAUAUAGCUAUUACCAUCAAAUGCAUUGUGAGAUGUUCGAAGAAAGUUCUUUAUUAAUCAGUACUGUUUGUUUAUAAUUAACUUCGACCUCUUGUUUUCAUCGGGUUAGGUUAACUAAACUCACUUAAAUCCAACCCAAACCACACUCAAGGUCAACCCUUCCAAAGCCUGAACCAAAAUUUGAAUAAUAAUUCAGCUGGACGGAGCUUCUAGCAACUUAAAUUUCCAAAUUUAAAUGGGAGAGACUUCAGCAACAAGCAGGUGGCUUAAAUUCAACUACUAAAUUGGAGAUACUUCAGCAACAAACCAGCAUUCAGACGAGAAAUAUUUUACCAAAAAAAGAACAACUUAAAAUACGAGUCCAAAUGAGAAAUCGGCUGAAAUUUCAAGAAGAUUAUUUAGCUACAAAAAACUGAACUAAAAAUCUGGAAAUAAAAAAAAAAAAAAAAAGCAGAUGCUGGCUUUAAAUUGGGAGCAGAGUUAUGAUGGUUUAGCCCUUAACAAACUUACUCCUCCUGCCAUCUUUCUAUGCUCUUUUGGGCAUUCUCUUCCCCCUCAAACCUGAGUCUAAAUUGACACUCCUUUCCCUCCUUAACAUGAGCUUGAGUAGGCUCUUCUUUCCCUUAAUGUAAGCCUGGAUUGGCCGUUUCUUCUCUCUCUUAUUACUGCUGGCAUUGCUACUAGAUAUUCCACUCAAAGCUGCUACCUGUAAUGAAAGGCCGCUACAGCUUAUUUAUCUAUAAAGGUUGUCAUGGCCUUCUUAUCUGCUGCCCCAACUGUGCAGUAUAGUGAAUUAGGGACUGAUGUGGUUGUGAUGCUUCUCAGGAUUUAGGGCUAUAGUAUUAGCCACAAAAGGUUCUGGAAUCAACUAAGAACGAAACCUAAAGCCCUCCACUUCCGCUAAAGCCUCUCUAUCUAAACACUUCAUUUCACAUCCUACAAACCUGAAUUUCCUAUUUCAAAACGCUGGGCCGAAUAUUAUUUUGAGACUCAUUAAAACUUCAUUUCUUUGUUUUCAGUUUCUUAUUGAUGGAAAUGUAAUUCGAACGAGUUGUAGUUGGAUUAAAAGUUCUUGUCUGGCAUUUUGCUUGCAAUAAAAAAUAUAGCAGAUUUUCUUUGAAGUCAUUUUAUUAGUUUAGUUUCUUUUCCUACAGAACUAGCAUUUAUUUUUAGUAUUUAUAUCGAGUUGUUCUCCAAACAUGGCUUAAAAAGCUACACGUUGCAUCAUACAAGACCAUUCACGAGCGAUCAUACAACAACUGCAGCAUUAAGAAAUUUCAUAUAUAAUACUCAAAGAGUUCUAGUCGCUAAAAUGCUAGAAUCAUAGUUAAUUAUCAGUAUAUAAUUAUCCUGUCAGUAGUGAGCCUGAAAAUCCAUUUGACAAGAGAUUAUAUCACUUCUCUUCAAGAAACAAGAUAACCAAGUUCAAAACUAUGAUACACCCAAGUACAAAAAGGGUUAAUUCCAAACUAGACUUGGAUUCAAAUCAUGCUUAGAGAUACAAAUAUUCCUCACCCAAUUAAGUGAACAUAAAGAUAAGAAAUCUUCAUUAAUUAGAACGAACGAAGCAAUCCCAAAUGGAGUGGAUGAAUGGCACCACAUGCACAACCCUAGAAAACUACUUAUUCAUCACCUAGGUAGUCUUAAAAGCUUGAGUCAGUUAAACUGAUGAUCUUACAAUUCAUGCAAACGUCGAAAUAGAAACAAUAGAAUGAAAAGCAAGAAACAUCCUCUAAUACAUUUAACCUCCUCAUAUACAUGACAAACACUCCUACAUCUCUACCAAUCAACCAAAAUCACAAGCUACCACAAAUUAUUAGGAUCCCAAGCAGAAGAAUCACGCACCCGUGGAUCACUAAAAUAAUAACACUUAACCUCUCAUAUACAUGACAAAAACUCCUAGAUCUCUACCAAUCAACCAAAAUCAUAAGCUACCACAAAUUCUUAGGAUCUCAAGCAGAAGAAGAACCACACACCAAUAGAUCUUAGGAUCUCAAGCGGAAGAAGAAUCGCGCCCAUGGAUCACUAAAAUGAUAUAGAAUAAUAGAGGAAUCCUCAUAUACAUGACAAACAUUCCUAGAUCUCUACCAAUCAAUCAAACUCACAAGCUACCACAAAUUCUUAGGAUCGCAAGCGGAAGAAGAAUCACGGACCCGUGGAUGACUAAAAUGAUGAUAGAAUAAUAGACGAAACAACAAAACCGUACCUCCAAACUAUACAGGUGGUUAAAAUGGCUCCUUUUUAGCCGCCGACAACCUGAAAUUAGCCAAUUGUUUCCUUUAAUAAAAUUAUAGUUGCAUGAAUUGCAUAAAAUAUGCUAAUUUUAAGGCCGUAAAGACAACAACACAUUCAAAUUUUGAGGUUAAAGAGAAUCAUAUAAAUUGAAUAAAUAUGCUCAAUAAACUAUUGAUUUUGAUAGUAUUAACAAAAUAGAAAAUCUCCUUUAUCUAAAUUUGUCAUACAUAUUUUGAGUUGCAAAUUGGAUAUAUGUUAAAAUGUGGAACAAUGCGAUACGCCAACUGGUUUUAGUGAACUUUACAACCUAAUUUGUCAAACUUUUUUAGAUCUAUUUGAGAUGAUGACAAAGUAUAGGGCAGUAAUUGAUGCAAUUUUUAAUGCAGUAGGAUAAUUGAGACUGCGGGGCUAAAGGGUAAGGGAGCUUUUUAUAAUUUAGCCUAUUUUUAAAGGGAAGUUCCUAGGCAUCACGGACACGGACAAAGGGCACAGGACACGACACGGCGACUCUAGCAACUUUUUUCCAAAAAAUUAGGACAUAGAUACGACAUGACACCACUAAUAAAAUAUACUAUCAUUAAUAUAAUACCAUAUUAAUUAUAUAUAAAAUAUUAAGUUUGCUAAAAUAUUGCUAUGUUUUUUAUACGAAUGAAAGUUAAUAAAAUUCUCAUUGAUGGUUCAUAAAGUUUAAGAAAAAAAAUUCUCCACCAUACACAAUUUAUUUAUAUUGUCGAAAAAAGGUUUUAUGUAUUUAUCAAAAAACCAAAAUAUAUUUCCUCUUAAAUAUAUAAUAUGCAUAAAAAAAGGUUAUAUAUAUAUAUAUAUAUAUAUAUAUAUAUAUAUAUAUAGUAUAGGAUGCAUAUUUUUAAUGGUAAACGUUAUGGACCCGCGUUCAAACGUUAGUCCAUGGCUUGUCCGUGUACAUAUAGCUUAUAAAAGUGUGCGUGAUACAUAGGUAAUUUGUAUAGAAUUUUACCUACAAAGAUUGCUCCUUGAUUAGCCUCCGAAGAAGGAGAAGAAGCCCUUCUUCUUGGGUUCCUCCUCCUCGAGCAUGACGGCAGUCAUGGUGUCCUGCUCGACGAGGCGCCAGGCGGCCUGCUCGAAGGCGAGGCCGGCGAGGGAGGGGGGCCGGGUGAGGACGAGCGGGCAGCCGCGGUUGGUGCUGCGGAUGACCUCGGCGUCCUCGGGGAUGUUCACGAGCAUCUUGAUGUCGCGGAUGCCGUCGCACUCGAGGAGCCCCGCCACGCGGUCGGCGUCGCGGAGGGCGGUGAUGUCGGGGGUGGUGACGAGCACGGCCUCGUUCGCCGGCGAGAUGGCGGUGACGAAGCCGGCGUCGAUGCCGGCGGGGCAGUCGAUGAGCACGAACUGGGGCGGCGGGUUAGGGUUAGGGUUAGGGUUAGGGUUGGAGGGGUUGUUGGGGCCAUCGGAGCGGAGGGCGUCGACAAUCCAGGUUAGGGUUUUGGGGCCGAAGGAGAGGGGGAGCUUGGAGCGGGGCUUGGAGAGGCAGAGGAGGCGGAGCAGGGACGGGAAGCGGCGGUCGCGGACGAGCGCCUGGUCGAGGCGGCAGUCGCCGUUGAGGACCUCGGCGGCGGUGUAGUUGACGCGGUUCUCGAGCCCGAGGAGCAGGUCGAGGUUGCGGAGCCCCGCGUCGGCGUCGACGGCGACCACGGAGAACCCGAGCCGCGCGAGGGAGACGCCGACAUUCGCCGUCGUCGUCGUCUUCCCCACGCCGCCCUUCCCGGACGUCACCACCACCACGCGCGGCGUCUCCCCCGCCAGCUCCGGCUUCCUCCCCCACUGCACCGCCGCCGCGGAUCCGACGACCACCCCACCUCCGCCGCCGCCGCCGCGCCGGAAACGGCAAAGUCGGUGGCGGACGUGGAGAGGAGCAACGAAUGAGGAAGAGGAGGAGGACGAGGCGGAGAGAUGCGUGGGGGUGAGGAGAUGAGGGAGAGGGAGAGGGGAGGACGCCAUUUUUAGGGUUAUGGCUAGGGUUAGGGUUUAGAGGAAGAGGAUUGAGGAGGUGGGCGCCAUGAGAACAGUAACGAAGCUGAGAGAGAGAGAGUGGUGUGUGAUGCGCGACCAGCGCGAGUGUAAUAGUUUGGGUGUGGGUUUGGGUUUGGGGCUAAAAGAGGUGGAUUUAUUAUGGGCUGGGCCCAACUUUAUAGAGGCCUAUUAGGCCUGGCCCAACUUUUUGUGUGGAGAUAGGCCCUUCUUUUUCUUUGAGUUCGCCGUGUAUACUCAAUUGCUGUUCGCGAGUUCGCUCAUGUUGGGUUCGAAAUGAGCUCGAAAUUAAUUUGCUCAUUUAGUAGAUAAGCUAAACAUAAACUUAAUUUUCAGCUCGUUUAACGAAACAUGAGCUGGGUCAGCUCGUUCGUCUCAGUCUCAAUAACAGCUCGAAUAAAUAUAUUUUAUAUUUAUAUAACUUAUAAAUUUUAUAUUUUAUAUUAUAUAAAUAAAUAAUUAUAUAUAUAUAUAUAUUAUAAAUUUUUAUUACUUGAUUUUUAGUCCAAUCUAUAUAUAAAGCUCAAGUCAAUUAUAGUAUGCACAGUUUCAACUAUUAGAUUAAAAUCAAAUGACUAAGUUCUCAUAAAUUUAUUUCCUAUAUUGUUGUUCGUGAGCUAGUUAGUAUUCGGCUUGUUAGUAAACGAGUCAAACAUGAUCAGAAUUUUUUAGCUCAAUAUUUUAACAAGUCAACUUGUAUUUGGCUCGUUUGUAAAACAAGCUAAACACAAGCCGGCCCUAGCUUGCUCGUGUUUAGCUUGUUGACCCCUGUAGUGAAGAGUGUGUUACAUGCGAUGAAAAUUUUGCAACAUAAAAAAUAUUUUUAAUUUAUUAUUUGUAGUGUAGAGACGGAAAAAAAAAGGGUCAAUUUGUAUAAAAAAUUCACAAAUUUUGAGCUUUUGCAAAACUAUGGCACUUUUUUUGAUUUUGCAUAUUCGGUCCGAAUUUUCAGCAAACUAACCAAGAUACUCUUAUUAUUUUUUCUCUCGUUCAUUUUUUUACUUUCUCCAAAGAAGGCAGCGGAGGUAGAGGUGGAGGAGAAAACGACCCGCCUUACAUCUUAUCCUCAUGCCCUUGCCCUCGCAUGCGCACCCCCCGCCUUCCUCGCCUCCAACCCCUUCGAGACUCCGCCAACUUUUUUUUUUUUUCCCCUCUCCGACCCUCCUCCACCAUCUCCGAAGACGAUGCCUCUCUCGCCUUCUCUCGCCCUUCUCCGCCCUUCCCGCUCUCUUCCCCUCUCUCCUCCUCCACCGUCUUCGACAACGACGCCUCUCCGCCGACGCCGAUGCCGUGAAGGUCGCUGCGACACCGCAGCCUUGAAACGGGGGGUCCUUACUGGCGUCGUAACCGACGCAAUAGCCGUUGGCGGAAAUGCAUGACAAAAUAAAAUUACACUAUUUAAAUUUUUUUUUGUACUGUAUUAAAUAAAAAUUACACUCUUUGAGACAAAAUUAUACUCUUUGAGAUCAAAUUUAUACUCUUUAGAUAAAAUUUAUAUAAUUUUUCUUUUCCUCCUCCUUCCCCUCAUCCUCAUCUUCAUCCUCCUCCACCCCUAGGCUGCGUUUGGUUGGAUAACUAAAUUUUGGAGAACAACUUUUGUUAUUUCCAAGAACAGGAGAUAUUCCGGUACAAGAUCGAACAAUUGUAAAUUUGUGUUUGGAUGCAUUCGAGGAUAUUCUAGAGGAUAUCCUUAAUAGCGUUUGGAUAAAAAGUCUAGAACAACGUCUAAAUAUAUUUUUAAAAAUAAAAUAAUUAAUUUAUAUUAGUAUAUUUUAUAUAAAAUUAUUUAUAAAAUUAUUUCAUAUAGUAAUUUAUAAUAUAAUAUUUUAUGUAAGAAUCUAAUUUAAAAUAAUAUAUUUUAUUUUAUUAUAUAUAAUAAUUUAUUUUAUGUAAUCAUUUAUUUUAUAUAAUUUAUUCAUAAUAUAUUAAUGAAUAAAGUAUAAUACUAACAAUAUCCCUAUANUAUUUAUAAAAUUAUUUCAUAUAGUAAUUUAUAAUAUAAUAUUUUAUGUAAGAAUCUAAUUUAAAAUAAUAUAUUUUAUUUUAUUAUAUAUAAUAAUUUAUUUUAUGUAAUCAUUUAUUUUAUAUAAUUUAUUCAUAAUAUAUUAAUGAAUAAAGUAUAAUACUAACAAUAUCCCUAUAUUUUUAAUUAAUAAUUAGCAUAAAUUUCAAUACAAGUAAAAAAUAUAUAUAUAAUUAAAUAUUAAAGUAUAAAUGAUAAAGUUUAAUAAAAUAAAAAAUAUAUCAAAUUUAAUUAAUUUAUAUUAUAUAAUAAAAUUUAAGUAUAAAUAUAUUAUCAUAAAAAUUUAAGUAUGAAUUUCAAUACAUAUUAAAAUAUAUAUAUAAUAUAUGAAAAAAUGAUUUUAUGUAUAUAAUACUUAAUAUAAAAUAAAAUAAUUAAAUACUAAUAUGUCACGCCCCGGGACCCAGCGGAAGCCCGCCUGGCGCGUGCCCAGACCCGCCAUAUGUCUACAACAUAUAAGGCGUCUAAAAACAACAAUAAUAAAAGCAAUAAUACAAGACAUUUAGGAGUAUCAGAGCAUAAUAAAAGUCUAAAUGCUACAACAAGGGAUAAGGUUAAAACUGUAAAUCCACUAAAUAAAAUAUAGAGUGAUACAAGGAAAUCCCAGAUACAUGCGCUAUAGGUAGAUACAUAGGUGGUCUCUAUACAUGGAUACAAAACCUCUCACUCUCUCAACUACAAAAGAAAGAGCAACCACCUAGGCAAAGUACCGCUUCUCGCUAGCUAGCUAAGCGAUCCCCUUGCCGCGAUCCUGUGCCUCCGCCGGUGCCGAAGACUCUGAAAAGGAAACCAUAAAACAGGGGCGUGAGAACUAUAAA
rnacentral:lncRNA from 1 species